rnacentral:lncRNA from 1 species
AGAUAUCUGGAUACGUGAAUAUCAAGUACCUUGAAAACAACUUAUACUUGACAGGGGUGAAGAGUAAAGCUGGUGAAAAAUCGACAUUGUUGAUCGUGGCCACUGCUGACACACCAAACAAUAAUAUGGAUGACAAACAUUGCACAUUGUUCGAGCUUGUGAAAUCCAAAUCAACCAACGAUUUCCGAGCGCGCCAUGUGCACAGCAAGCUCUUUUUAAGGCCACACAAGGUUAUAGAUGGUCAUGACGCUGUCCUCUGCGCAGAAAACCAAGACCCUAACCCUAUAGAAGUGGAUAUCUUUACAGCCAUUGUGCGUCCAUGAUCAUAGCUAUCGCAUGAUGUUUGUGGGUAACGUCUCUGGAAACCCUCACGAGACUUCACUCGUCCCAUCAGGGUCACCAAUGGGUUUAAAAAGGCUUGUUGCAUACGCUCAAUGCAAUCGAGUUCCCUGCGAAAGUGGCAUUAGUUUUCAUCACUGGUUUUUCAUGUUUUUUUUUUUUCUAAGUAUUCUAGUUUCUUUGUAUUAUGCGUGUAUUAAACCAAUAAACACAGAUUGUAUGAGCUGGGUGGUUAUGUCUUAUGUGUAGUAGUGUUCAAUAAAAGUUGUGUUUCUUCAUGGUUCUUACUUUUUACUGACGUACGUAUGACUUUGAUUCCUUAUUUUAGUAACUUUGAGUACUAAAUAAACUAAUUAAAAAAUCGAGAAGGAUGCUAAUACAUUAAAUAAGUGAGAAGAGAAGAUUGAUAUCCUGCAUCAACUUAGGCCCUGUUUGGCACACCGUAUAAGGGACCGGAUAGUACUAAUAAUACGGUGUACGGUGUUUGGUGACAGUUUGGAUUAAAUAAGCACCGGAUUAAAUAAUCCGGGCCCACCUUUUUUACACAGUGUGUACCCGCUUGCUUAUACCAUCCAUUUUCACGGUAUAAUUAGUCGAGCUCUCUUCUCUCCCGACGCAGUCUUCCGCUUCCUCUCCAGACAAAUUCUUCCGCUCCAGGCACUCUCUCUUCCUCUCCAGACGCCAUCUUGCUCUCAUCCUAGGUAUGUCUUCUCACAGUCUUCUUCUUCGUUUGAAUCACAAUUCGUCUUUUCAAUUUUCUUCUUCUGGGAUUUCGCCCCUCCCUCUAUUCUUCCCCCUCCUCCUAUUUUUCUUGCAAUUGAUUGAAUCUAGUUAUUAUUUUCUCUCUAAUUAUGCAAUUGAUUAUGUAAAUUUGUGUUUUAAUUAGAAUUUUUGAAUUUUAGGGUUUGCUAUUGGGGUCGAAUUUUAGGGUUUUCAAUUUUCUUCUUCUGGGUUUGUUGUUGGUGUUUAACUUUAAUUAGAAUUAAUGAUUGGGUAGAGUGGGAGUGUGCAGGUUCACUUACCUAAACAAAACUUUGUCUCUGGCGCAGCUCCCGUUUCACUCACUAUCUCACAGCUGCAACACAACCAUACGGACAAUUGGGUAAGCCAAUUGUUCUCUGUCUCUCAUUCCCCAUCACCGUCUAUGGCCCGAAAAUUAGAUCCCAAUUGCUGUUCUUCUCAGUUUUUGCAUCACUCCGUCUCAGCUUUUAUCCAUUUUUUAAUUUUUAUGUGAAUUUUACUUUUUAUCUGGAUAUACAUAUGUGUGAAUAAUUUCGGACUAGGGUUGUUGAAUUGUUGAUUGGCAUUGAAUUGUUGAAUUUCGGACUAGGGUUGUUGAAUUGUUGAUUGGAAUUUUUAUCUGGAUAUAUAUAUGUGUGAAUAUAUACGUGACAACCACAGAUGCCAAAUUAGAAUGGGAAAAAAAAUAAUAUCAAAUUAACAAAACACAAGGCGGGAAACUUAACUCAAAACUAGUACCAAAUUGCUUGUAUCUUUAUACGAAUCAAUAAAGCAUUAUAUUAGAGUCUAAAAGCUAAGAGAUCACCUCACAAAUAAAUUUGUCACUCAAGGCUUCUAGCUUGUGAGGAACAAGGUGAUCCUCAAAAUCCCCAUGUCCUAGUUGACCGUAUUUGCUCCAACCAUAUUUUUUGGUAGGACUUAUUAACAUGUUUCCUUCCGUUUUUAGUGUUAUUAUGCAUUCAUGCUCCAGUUACUUAAUUUUUUGCCACUAUCUAAUAAUGUUAUUUUUAUAUUUCACUAGACAUGGAUGAAAGAAAGAUUGUGGCAUGCUUCAUUGUUAAGUUGUGGUACUUGAAUAUUGUGACUUGGUUGAUGAUGUGGUUUAUGAUGAAUCAUAAUUCAGCUAGAAGGCGGAAUCGGCAACUUGCACUUAGAAAUCGCACAUUUGUUAGGAGAAUGGUAGGGUCAGCCUGUUUAGAUGGCAUAAUAGGAUAUGAUGAUGUUCAGUGUGUGAACCAAAUUAGAAUGGAUAGAAGAACAUUCCAUUAUUUAUGUCAGAUGCUUCGUGACGACGGUAGAGUAAAAUUGGAUGGUGUAGUGACAAUGGAAGAACAAGUUUGCAUGUUUUUGCAUAUACUUGCACAUCAUGUCAAGAAUCGUACAAUUGGGAGUAGGUUUUGUCGAUCGGGGGAGACCAUAAGUAGAUAUUUCAAUUCUAUUCUACAUGGAGUGUUAAGGCUACAAGGUAGACUUUUGAAAGUGCCAGAACCCAUUCCUAAUGCCUACCCAGAUCCUAAAUGGAGUUGGUUUGAGGUAUUCUUCAUAUUUUAUUAAAAUUACUUCUAAAAUUAAUGUAAUUAAAUAUAUUGUGCUUACUAAUGUUAAUGAUUUUUUUUAGAAUUGCUUGGGGGCAUUGGAUGGGACUUACAUUAACGUUCAUGUCCCUGAGCGAGAUAAACCAAGAUACCGAUCGAGGAAGGGAGAGAUUGCAACCAAUAUGUUGGGAGUUUGUAAUCUAGACAUGAAUUUUAUAUUUGUGUACUCAGGUUGGGAAGGGUCGGCCUCUGAUUCUAGAGUACUCUGAGAUGCGAUAAGUAGACCAUCGGGAUUAAAAGUUCCCACGGGUAACAAUAGAUUUUUUGUUUAUAUUAGUAAUUUGAAUCCUCAUUUUUCUUAUAUAUAGUAAUAUACAUUUUUUGAUGUGUUAGGGUGUUACUACCUUGUGGAUGGUGGGUAUACAAAUGGUUCAGGAUACCUUGCAUCGUAUAGGGGAGUGCGUUACCAUCUCUCGGAGUGGAGAAAUAGAAGACUCCCGAUUAAUCAUGAGGAGUAUUUCAAUAUGAAACAUGCUCAAGCUAGAAAUGUCAUUGAGAGAUGUUUUGGACUACUUAAGAUGCGUUGGAGCAUCUUAAGAGGUCCAUCAUUUUUCCCAAUUAAAACAUAACUUAGAAUUAUGACAGCCUGCUGCCUAUUACAUAAUUUGAUUAGAAGGCAUAUGUCAGCUGAUCCAAUAGAAAAUGAAAUCCUAAACUUGGACGAAUCUGAAAGUAGUGAUGAUGAUGAAGAUAUGAUUGAGACUGUUCAACCUACACAAGAAUGGACUGCAUGGAGAAACACUUUGGCCAUGAAUAUGUACAAUGAGUGGCGUGCACAAGUGUGAUUUGAUUAAAUUUUCUUACAUAUGCAUGUUGUCAUUUGGUUAUGGUUUGUUAUUUAAACAAAUAGUGAUUUCUUAUGUAUUCGGUUAUGAUACUUAACAAAGUGUGACCUGGUUAUGUAUUUAUUUAAAAAGUGUGAUGAUUUGCUUAUGGUUUUUCACUUACUAUUAAUUAUAUGCACUGUUGAUUAUAUGCUAUCUUAUUGUGUACGUAAUUAUAGGAAUGGAAAGUGAACAAAGUAGUCAACCAAAAGGAAGUAGAAGGGUUUGGAAACAAUAUGAAGAAGAUGCAUUGCUGUCCAUACUUGAGGAUGCAAUUGUUAAGAAUUUGCGAUGUGAUAACGGUUGUUUCAAACCCGGAACAAUGGCUCAAUUUGAAACUGCUAUUAAUUUGAAAUGUCCUAAUGCCAAUAUAAAGGCAGUUCCACAUAUUUAGUCCAAAAUGAGGAGGUGGAAAAAAGAUUAUGCAAUAGUUUAUGACAUGGUUAAUAAAAUUGGUUUUGCAUGGAAUGAUGUACGAAAGUGUAUUGAGGUUGAUAGCAAUGAAGUAUGGCAGUCCUAUGUGAAGGUAAUUCUAUAACAUAAUACUAGAAUUUAACUUUACAUAUUUGAUUACUUAACAUGUUCCUUUACAUACAAUUUAAUAGUAUGAUUGUGUCUACCAAACCAUAUCCUCUAGCCCCAUUCUGGAACAAAAUAAGAUUAUUUGUAUUUUAUGGAUAAUGUGAUUUGUUUUCGCAUUGCAAGUUAACAAAGAAACAGAGGGCUGGCUAGGAAAAUCGUUUCCAUUGUGUGACAUAUUGAAUGUUAUUUUUGGGAAAGACCGAGCAACUGAAGUAGGAGCUGCAACUCCUACUGAGAUAAUGAAUAAGCUUGAGCACAUUAAUGAAGAUGAAGAUGAAGAUGAGGUGGAGACUAGUUCUCCUUCUGUUGCCCGACGGUCAAGCAGUUCAAGUACCCGGAAAAGGAAGAGAGCUGCUAAUGAUAAUGAUCUUGCUGUGGCAUUUAAAGAAAUGCUUUCUGAAUCAGUGGAUAAUUUAGGUGAAGUUUUACAAGCUGCUUUUGGGAAAGGAGUGGAUCCAAAACCUGAGAUUGCUUCUGAAUUGUCAAAAAUGGAUUUGUCUAUUGAAGAUCAAAUCAAGGCACUAAAUAUUCUUUUCGAAAAGCCACAUAAUGAGAGAACAUUCUUGUCUUUGGAUGGUGCAAUAAAAAAAGCUUUCGUACUCAAGUUACUUGGACAAAGUAACCGCAAUUGACAUUUCAAACCAACAAUAAUAUACUUUGUUAAAAGCAGCAUGCAUAUCUUUUGUUAAAAGCUGCAGCAUGCAUAUAUUUUGUUAAAAGCGGCAUGCAUAUGUUUUGGCUAUUUGGACAAACUGUUUCUUACUAAAACCAAUUUGCAUUUGUAUAUUUUAUGAACUUGAAUAUGUAGUUGGAUUAUAUAAUGUAACGAUUGUAGUUGUUUUUUGUGAACAUUCUUUUAUGUUAUUGGAAAAUAUUUUAAAUUUGAUGUAUGAAAUUUACUAUGUUUCUUUGUUUUUUGAAAAUUUGUGUGGUUUUCAAUAGGUGUAAAUAUGAGAAAAGUUCAACAAACAAAGAAAGAUUUGUUUUUUUUUUUCUCUUGUCCUCUCCGGUUCAGUACCAAACACAGUAUAAAUAAUACGGUCAUUAAUCCGAAACUGCACCAAACGCCCGACUAAUUUAGUCAGUACUAUCCGGUGGCUAUUUAUCCUAUCCGACAGAAAUAGUCAGUACAGUCCGAGCUGCCAAACGAGGCCUUAGGGUUUUAUCAUAUAAAAGCCUAUUUUUUAUCUCGUUAAAUAAAAGUAUACAAAUAAAAACCAAUUUUUAUCUAAAACUCUGAAUUACAAACAAUGCAUUCUGUCAAAAAAAAAAUAGUUGAAUAAAAUUAUCCAAAUAAAAGCCUUUUUUUUUAGGAAAACUAAUGAAAAAGAUUUUGAAAAUUUUGAGUUUUAAACGAUAAGAACAAAAUAAAAGGUAAAGUAAAUAGUAAAUAGUAUCAAGAUUGACUUUUGAGUUUUAACGAUAAGAGCAACUUUUCUUGAGCUUCAAUUCUAAUCUGAAACUUUCUUUUGAACCUAUUUUAAAAAGUAGCAACAACAAUUAGAAGAUGGGCCACAUGUAAUGAUUCAUAGUCCAAUUUACUUUAGUCCAAGAUUGACCUAAUUUUAUGCAUCGACAAAUUUUAAUCAAAUAAAAUGUAAAAAAAAAAAACAGACGAUAGCAAGUAAGUUUUCGGGGUGAUCCGGAAGACAUGGAUGUCAACAAAAUAUCCAAAGUACCACUAGAGGAGGGCUAUGUAUACGAAAUGCAUAAAUAGGAAUGCAAAUAUCCAAAGCACCACUAGAGGAGGGCUAUGUAUACAAAAUGCAUAAAUAGGAAUGCAAAGACGAGACGCUAAUAUCAAAAUGUCCCUUUUAAUAAAGAAAAAAUCCAAAGACAAGGUGCCUAUAUCAAAACUCCCCAUUUUAAUAGUAGCUAAGUACUGGUAAACCAAGCUGUAAUCAAACCGGAGCUGAUAAGUACUGGUUUCAUAUACCCUUGUUGUGAAAAGAUUCUCAUAAACAACACGUAACUGAUUGAGCACUUAAAUGUGUCUUCGUGUACAUACGGCAUGAUCAAUUUAUGAAUUUCACACGUAGGAAAACUAAAAGAGUUCAUUUUCCACAUUGUUUCUUUCAGUUAUCGGGCAUUGUCCCCACAUUAGUUAAUGCCCUGCAUUGAGAUCAGCAAUUCAAUCAAAUCUGGCGUCAGUCCAGUGACUUCAGCUAAUUGAACAACUCAGUUGUUGAAAACAUCGCAAUUUUAUGUAAUUCUCUUUGAAACAAUGGAUUUGGGUACAUGUGAAAACUCUAGGAUCAGGACUCAGUCCAAAACAACAUAUGAGAUAACAACCCUACGACUCUUCUAUAUGAAUUAAACACUUGGAACUAGUGAAAAAUGCAUUGUUUUGCCGAAAGAAAAAUAAAAAUAAAAACUCGAUCCUUAUAGGAAGCCAUCAGUGUGAACACAUAAUGUGAAUAUAGAAACAUGGUGUGGGCUUAUCCUUGAAUAUAAAUAGGGUAGCACGUUCGAAGCUAUGGAGCAAGUAAAUCACACGAGAAAACGAGAAAGAGAGAAGAGGGAAGGGAGAAAAAAAAAAGAGACAAGUGAGCGUGAUCAUCCCCAUUUAACAUGGCAGCACCACUACCAAACCCUUUUGCGUGGCAAUCUAACCACAACAGCAAGUACUUGCACUUAGAUGGAGAAAUCGGAGGUCAAAGGGGGAUUCUCGAAUUCACCGAAGAGGAUCCUAAAUAUGUUUUCAAACGGGAUACGUGAAAAUCAAGUGCUCUGAAAACAAAUUAUACUUGAAAGGAGUGUGGAAUCAAACUUAUGAAACAUGGUUGAUCGUGGCCGCUGCUGAGAAGGAUGAUGAAGAUUCCACAUCCUUCGAGCAUAAGCCAGGCAAUUCAAGCUUCCGAAUGCGCCAUGUGAAGAGCAACCUCUAUUUAAGGCCAUACAAGAUAGGUCAUUCGGACGCAGUCCUCUGCGCAGUCAAGCCAGCUCCUGACGCUGGAAAUGAGGAUCUCUUUACAGCCUAUAGGCAUCCAUGAUCAUAACUAUGACUUGAUGUUUGUGGGUAACGUCUCUGGAAACCCUCACGAGACUUCACUCGUUCCAUCAGGGUCACCUAUGGGUUGAAAAGGCUUGUUGCAUGCGCUCAAUGCAAUCGAAUUCCCUGCGAAAGUGGCAUUAGUUUUCAUCACUGGUUUUUCUUGGUUUUUUUUUUUUUCUAAGUACUUUAGUUUCACUGUAUUACGUGUGUGUUAAACCAAUAAACACAUAUCGUAUGAGCUGUGUGGUUAUGUCUUAUGUGUUGUAGUGUUCAAUAAAAGUUGUGUUUCUUCAGAGUUCUUACUUUUAUGGACGUAUGUACGACUUUAAUUCCAUAUUUUGGUAGCUUUGAGUACUAAAUAAACUAAUUAAGAAAUCGAGAAGGAACUUCAAACUUGCUACUCCAUUCUAAAUAAGUGAGAAGAGAAGAUUGAUAUCUUGCAUCAACUAGGGUUUUAUCAGAUAAAAGCCAAUUUCGUAUCUCGCUAAAUAGAAGUAUACAAAUAAAAGCCAAUUUCUAUCUAAAUAAAACUCUGAAUUACAAACGAUGCAUUCUGUCAAAGAAAAAAAAAAGUUGAAUAAAAUUAUCCAAAUAAAACCCUUUUUUUUUUCUCGUUUUGCUGACAUGUAUAAUAUAUUAGCAUUUAGCAACUUCUUUCAGAUAGAAUACAAGCAGCUAUGUGAACAAGUAAAAUUAUAGGCACAUUCCCAUCAAUCGAACGGAUCAAAAGCAAUCUCGCAGGGGCCACAAGAUUCGAACCAUUAAGCAGACGAACCAAAACACAAAAAGAUCGAACUGUAAACCGAAACUUAAAAGAUUCAGAAGAAAAAUAGAAGAAAUGGAGAGCUGUUUUGUGGUUCAUAUUGGAGCUAAUGGAACAGAACAAUCGAUCAAAUUGUAGAGGGGACAAAAGGGGUACGAGAGCCUUGCAUUUAGAAGAAUCUAAAGAUGGUUUUGAGAGAAUAGAAGAUACCCAGUUGUGCAAACUCUGAUCGGUCGGCUCCGGUUGAUCCGGAAGCUGCAAUGGCGGCGGUCGUGGAGGUUCUUGGGGGCGGUGUUGGGCGGUGCGGUGCAGGUCACGCACGGGCGGUUGAUGGGGGAGAAGAGAAAAGAUGGGGUUUUGGGAUUGAAAGCCUUCUCAAAUCCAUAGAAAAAUGCAUGUGAUUAGCGCUUCUGGGUAAGUCGAUUUUGUGGGUUUUGGUGCAGGGUUUAUGAGAGUGAAGCUCCCAUGGAAUUUUGCUUUGAGAUUUUAGAGGAUGCGGAAGAGCCACGAUGCUAGAGAGAGAGAGAGAGAGAGAGAGGGUCUUUAAGGUUUGUUAUUCUGAUGUGGCCCUUGUGGGUUUAAGGCUGUGCCGUAACGCAGAAGGCACAAGCAACAACCACGAUUUAUUUUUAUAUUUUUAAUUUUGAUUCUUGAAGAAUAUUAAAAUUUUAUAAAACAUUGAUGUAAAUUACAUAUUCAUUUUAAUCUUUUAUUGCGUACUUAAUUCAAAUUUAUAUCAUAUUUUUGUUUUUAUAUUUAAUAGAUAUUUUAUUUAAUCCCUCCACAAAAAAUUUUAAAUUUAUUAUUAUACACAUUUUAAUUCAUCAAUUUUAUUUAACUUCCUCUAAUUAGGGUAUUUAAACGUAUGUAUUAUAGUAUUUUUUUAUGAACUUGUGUAAUGAAAUGUUUUUACCUAAAUGUAUUGUAAUGAAUUAGUGGCACAUAAGAAAAUAUGAAAAAACAAAGUGUACUGUAAAAUCCAUACCUAAACAUAUUAUACUAACUAGUGUACUGAAAUGUUAAUACCUAAAUAUAUUAUAAUGAAAUAGUGGCACAUAAGAAAAUAUGCAAAAAAAAUUAAGUGUACCGAAAAGUCUCUACCAAAAUAUUUUCUUAAUUAUAUAAGAUACUUACUGACACACUCCGACCGAGAUCAAGGCAUGUUAGCCGUCACGUGAGAGUGACGUAGCCAUAUGCACAGUGCGGAAGCAAUAUAGAUAAGAAUUAUACGAAUAAUUAAAAACUAAUUUACUAUACUAAACAGAACGUGAUAGGAGUUAGUUACAACAGUAAACACUCAUAAUCAGAGCAUAAAGUCUAGGUGCAGUCCAGUAGGACAAGUACUAGUUAUACAGGACCAAGAAUGUCCUACUAUUAUUUAGAUAAGUCAGAACUGCCGACGUCCUCAAGCCACCAACAGCAAGCUUACUUAAAACCUGGAGGAGCGCAAAACAGAAAACGUGAGUGGGCAAAAACAAUUGUUUUACAAAAUCAUUUCAUUUAUCAACAUAUCUAACCCAUCGCUGUAAAACAUGUAUAAUUUUUCCAUAAUCAAGAUAUAAGCAUAUACAUAUAUAUAUCUCUCUGAAAUCAUAACAAUUCAAUUCAUGCUUCACAUAAUCAUAUUCAUAUGUAUGCCAUGCCAAAAUAUAAAAGUAAACAAUUCAGGUAAGAAUGAUUUCAUAGAAAUAUGAUAUGUUAGCCAGAACUCCUAUGGUAGUCUAUACGGCUGAAUUCAUAGCUCAAAAGUCAAUCUAGCCGGAGUCACUACAAUGACCUAUACGGCAAUAUACUACACAUAAGUCGGAACCACUAAAAAUGGGUCUGUACGACAAGAUUGGGUGUAAAUUGCUAGUCACCUACGAGUCGGAACCAUAAAUAAGGUCUGUACAAUAAGACAAUGCACUUAAGUUGGAUCCAGUAUGAGCAUAUAGUGCAGGAGGUGACGUAAAUAAACAGGCAUGUACUUCAUAUCUCUGGGUAAAUCACAAUUACCCUAGGUGCAGUUUUAUGAGCUCAACAUUAUUCAAUCACAUAUCACAUCAUCGAUGAUUCACAUAAUCAAACAUAACUUACCUGAACUUACCUGUGCCUCCACAACACCACAUUUAUAUAUAUAUAUAUAUAUAUAUAUAUAUGCAACCAUGAAUUGCAUAUUCAUAAUAUAAAAGCAUUUGGCAUAUUAUUUCAAAGCAUACAUUCCUUAAAAAUGCAUUUCUGGGAAAUAUAUCAAGUAUAUAAAUAUAUAUUGAAAACAAAAGCCCACUCACUGGUAUGUCAAAGGGUCAUAGCCCCCGAGUCGCCCGUGGAUACGCUCGUCCUCGGGAUAAGUCUCACCUAUUUGCGAAUUAACUAUAAAAACGUUAUUUUAAAGCACAUAUACAAAACUAGCUAAUAACUUCUCAUACAAAACUCAAUUUUGGUAUUUGAAUAUACCAACGUGACCUACACAACCUCACGAACAUCGUGAUAUUUUUAGAAUAAUUUUUCUGUGGCUCACGCGCCCUCACGCGCCGGGGAGGGCACGGCCUCACGCGCCCUCACGCGCAUCACUUUCAACCUCCAGAGGCCAGAAUAAUGUCACCGGCGUCGGAUUCUGGGCAGACUUGCAACUGCCUCUUUCUCGCUCGUUUUUGCACCAUUUUUUAUAAAAUUUUCACCAAAAUGUCAUAAAUCACGAGAAGAAUAAGGUUAUACCUCUUGGGAGCUUCAAAUCCCUCAAAAACUCGUCUGGAGAAUCCUCUCAAAACUGGCCACCUUCGAACGUCAUGAUCCCGACGUCAAAACCGAGCUAACGAAGCACUCCGAGCUUCGUGAAAACCUCCUAGAGCUCGCGGUGAGCUUGGAUUGUCCUGAAAUGGGUACCAUUGCACUCGUAUGGUCCUCACGAACACAAUGGUACCAUUUUCUUCCUCGAUCUGCGAAGAUUUGGCUUGGUUCAAGGUUGUCCGUACGGAGGAGAGGGAAAAGAGAGUGAGUCCAAGAGAGAGUACGGGAGAGAAGAGAGAGAAAUGAUAUGGAUGUGUGUGUGUGGUUCCAAAAUGUACACCAAUCAAAACUCUUUAAUCUUUUAGCUCUAAUUAGGUCCAAUUAGUUAGGGAUAAAACUAAUUGACCCAAUUUCUUAACCUAAAAUACAAACACACACCCGACGUUCAAGGGUAAAUUCGUCUUUUCACAACCGCGAUAAUUAUUUCUCGGGACGGGCUGUGACACUUACCAUAAAUUGGUGAUGGAAAAUGUCGACAAAUAAAGUUAAUUCAUUAGAAUUUAUAAUAUUUUGCAUAAAAUGUAAUUCAUGGACACCAUAAAAUUAUAAAAGAAAAACAUUAAAUGCAUAUGCUGGCAUUAAACAUAGUAUAGAGACUAAAAUUAAUUUUUAAUCUUGUAUAAGACAUUUUUCCAAAUUUUAUCUUAUUUAAAGAUUAAAAUUUAAUUUUAUAGUUUAAAAUUUUGACCAAAUAAAAUGUAAAAGAACAAAAGACAAAAGAAAGUAAAUUUUUGAGGUGAUCCGAAAGACAUGGAUGGCAACAACAGCAUCCAAAGCACCAGUAGAGUCUUAACAGCUAAAGAAAUGUAGAAGAAAUCUUAGAGAGAAAUCGAAGAAGAAGGAAGAAAGAGAGAGAGAGAGAGAGAGAGAGAGAGAGAGAGAGAGAGAGAGAUAGAGAGAGAGAAGGAAACUGAACAGUCUUUCUGUAUUGUAUUGAAUCAAUGAUUACACAUGGUUUGCUAUACAUAUAGUUGUUUACAAUUAAUGACUCAGCAUUCUCUUUCUUAACCAACUAACUAACUUGUAACUGACUUGUACUAAAUGGCAUGUGGUGUAUGUUAAGCUAUUAUACACCCUUAGUUAUCAAUUAUUAUCCCCCCUCAAUCUUAGCUAGGGUAACCUAGUCUGAGAUUGCAACAAUGGCGAAUAAAAGCAGGACCAUGCAACCCUUUUGUCAAGAUAUCUAUAGUUUAAUGGUCAGUGGGCACAUACUGAACUUGUAAAUCCUUCCCUUGAACCUUUUUCACGAACAAAAUUAAAAUUUGUGUCCAAAUGUUUAAUGCGUGUAUGAAACACAGGAUUUGAACAGAGAGCUAAAGCAGAAAGAUUGUCACAUUGCAACAAUGGUGGUUUAGAAAUGAACUGAUGCAGAUCUUUUAACAAUAGUCUUAUCCAGACAAUAUCAGCUGCACAAUGUGCCAAGGCUUUAUAUUUUGCCUCCGUUGAACUUCUUGAGACUGAGGCUUGCUUCUUAGACUGCCACGAUAUAGGAUUGGACCCCAUGAAAACAACAAACCCAAUAACAGAUCUCCUUGUAUUCGGAUCGGCAGCCCAAUCAGAAUCUGAGAAAGUAGUUAAGGAAAUGUCAUGUGAUGCUGAAUAUGUAAUUCCACACUGCAAAGUGCCUUAUAUAUACCUUAAGAUUCUUUUAACUAUAUCAAAAUGUAUAUCAGUAGGAGUGUUCAUAUAUUGACAAGCCACACCCAUAGCAUAGGACAAAUCAGGUCUAGUAAAAGUUAGGUAUUGCAAAGCACCAACUAGACUUCUAUAUGCACUUGGGUCUUCCAAAAUCAUACCUUCAGUAGCCAGAAGUUGAGUAUGAGGCUUGCAUGGAGUUGCAAUAGGUUUACAGCCAUCCAUUCCAGCUUUAUGAAGCAAAUCGCUUGCAUACUUAUAUUGAUUGAUGAAAAUAUCCCCAUUGGCUUUAUACUCAACUUGUAAUCCCAGAAAAUAACCCAAUCUACCCAUAUCCUUUAAUUCAAACACAUCUCCAAGUUCCUGAAUUAUAGCUUGAACCUGAUUCUUAUUGGAUCCAGUGAGAAUAAUGGCAUCCACAUAUAGUAAUAGAACAACAAUAUCAGUGCCAUCAUGUUUCACAAAUAAACUUGUAUCAGAUUGAGACAUUUGAAAACCCAUUGCAGGUAAGUAUCCUGUAAAUUUGGCAUUCUAUGCUCGUGGGGCCUGUUUCAAGCCAUACAAAGACUUCACCAACUUGCAUACAUAUUCAGGAUAAGUAGAAUCCACAAACCCUUGUGGCUGUUUCAUAUAAACCUCUUCAUCCAAUUCACCAUGCAAGAAUGCAUUCUUAACAUCCAACUGUCUCAAUUCCCACUGAAAUUGAGCUGCAAGAGAAAUGAUUAACCGAAUUGUGCUAUGUCGCACAACAGGACUGAAUGUCUCAAAAUAAUCUAGUCCAUGUUCUUGAUUAUACCCUUGAGCUACUAAUCUAGCUUUAUAUCUUGAAAUAGACCCAUCAGGAUUCUUUUUCAGCUUGUAAACCCAUUUGCUACCAACAACUGCUCUGUGUGUAGGUGAAGGGACUAGCUUCCAUGUGGCUUGACCUUUCAAUGCAUCGAACUCUUCUUGCAUUGCUCUUUGCCAAUUAACAUUUGUAGAUGCACUUCGAAAGUUUGUAGGUUCUGCUAAAUCAUUAAUUUAAGCCAAAAAGGAAAACCCUCCAGUACCAUAGUUAUCAUGUUCAUCAAUCUGUAAAGUUGACAGCUGAGGAAAGCUAGCUAUAAAGGCUGAAUAAUCUUUUCUUGAAAUAGCGCCUGUUUGUAACCUAGUUUGCAUCCGUGGAACAGAAUUAUUAGAUUGAAUAUGCUCAAAUACUUUAGAAGAGAUUAGAGGAAGAGUUACCUCUAAUUGUGCAGGAUUGUGGACAGGUAACAUCAAAGCUGUGUGUGGAGGAGAUGAGUAAGUUGUUUCAGUUGACUGAGAAAAUGUUGUUGUUGAAAUAUGAGGGCUUGUCCCAACUGUACUUGCACUAGUCUCAUUAGCUGUUGUACUAACGGAAUGUGGAGAACUUACACCUACUGAAUCAGGUGUCAUAUUUCUGCUAUCAAAAUCACCAGAACGAGGCUGCACUAGAAGUGUAACAAUAAUAGGACCAUUCACAGACCUAUCUCUGAAAGAUUCACUCGAAGAAGAAUACUUGUUAGUACAACUCAUGACUUUGUAAGGAAACACACUUUUAUCAUGUAUAACUUGCCUGGAUAUAAUUAGUUUCUGAGACUGCAUAUGAAAACAUAGUGCUCCCUUAUAACCUUCUGCAUAACCAACAAACACACAUUAAACAACCCUUGGUUGCAAUUUGUUCUCAUUAUAGGAUCAAAUAUAGGGAUAUACUGCUGUUCCAAAUAUCUUAAUAUCUUGUAAACUAGGCUUUGUACCAAACAGCAACUGAUAAAGGGAUUUCAUCCCUAAUGUUUUACUUGGCAUCCUAUUUAUGAGAUAUACAGAAUGUGCAUAGGCAUGAAACCACAAGUUCUGAGACAAAUGAGCAGUGGUCAUUAAAGUAAUGGCAGUCUCUAUGAUGUGUCUAUGCUUCCUUUCAGCCAUCCCAUUCUAUUGAGGGGUGUAGGGACACAAAAUCUUAUGCACUACACCUUUAAGUUUCAAGAAAUCAUCAAACUGUUUACUUAUAAACUCUCCACCUCCAUCAGUUUGAAGACAUUUAAUGCUAACAUUAAACUGAUUAUGAACAAAGCUGAAAAAUCUCUGAAAUACACCAAAAACUUCUGAUUUAUUGAUUAAAGGAAAUAUACAUACAUGCCUUGUGAAUUCAUCGACAAAACUAACAUAGUAUCUAUAUCCUUCUAUAGAUCUAGUUGGUGAAUGACCCUAGAGAUCGGAGUGAACCUUCUGAAAUGAAAAAGUAGAUGUAUUUGUCCUAUCUAGAAACACCUGCCUUGACAUUUUUUCAGAAAUACAGAAGGAACAUACAUGUUUAUUAUCAUCUACUGUAAUAGCUAUAUCUGAUAGUUUCAUCAUCUCUGAAAGCACUUCAUUGCUGGGAUGUCCAAGUCUUUGGUGCCAAAUUGUAGACUUCACCUUAUGUCCAAGUAAUGCUACUGACUUCUGAACUGAUGGAGACAAACACCCUGGGAACAGCUUUACUGGAAUCUGAAACAACUCACCAUCCUCACUCCUUCCUUGGUAAAGAACAGCUUUGGUUACCUUGUCUUGCACAUAGAAAUUUACAUCAUCACAUAUGAACCAACAGAAGUUAUCUUUGCACAAUUGUUUGACCGAGAGUAAAUUCACAACUAUAGUUGGCACAUGUAAAACAUUUCUCAAGAUCAAAGAGUAAGGUAAUGUAUUUAAAUGUGUAGACCCAAUAUGUAUGAUUGGCAAACCUUCACCAUUGCCAAUUGUAAUUUUGUCAUUGCCUGCAUAUGAAGUGACUUGUUGCAAAGAAUCAAUGUUUGCAGUCAUGUGAUGAGAAGCCCUAGUAUUUAUAAUCCAAGAAUCAUUAGGUAAAACUGUUGGUGGAGCAUGAGCUUGCAUUGCUGUGAGAGUAGGAGCAGGUGGUGUCCCUUGAUAGGCAAAGUUAUUUCUGUGAUAACAGUCUAAUGCACUGUGCCCUUUCUUGCCACAAAUCUAACAUUCCAUACCCUGUCCACCUGAGCUUGAGUGAGUAGGCCUUUUUCCAGCAAUUAGGGGCUGUAUGCCCUCUUUCGAAACAAAUCUGACAUUCAUGCACUAUGUUGGGCUUUAUCUUAGUAAUACCAUACCAAGAUUGCCAGCUUCCUCCAUUUGGUCUGCCCCCAGAAUGACCACCUAUAUUGUUUCCAUAAUUCUGAGAUCUGUAUGCACCAUUCCCAUUCGGCUUGGAACCAUACUAAGGUCGAGAACCAUUAUUAUGGAACUGUCUUGGAGUAUUGGUUGUCCCCACAAAACCAUAGGCACUAGCAUGCUCAUGAUAUCCUAAAUCGUGAAAUUGUGGAAAUGGAUAAGAUGGAGGAAACAUCACUGGUGCUGAAGACUGUGGAAAAGGCAAAUGUAUCGGAGCUUGAGACUGGGAAAAAGGAUAUGUCAUCUGUGCAGCAUUUGAAGAUAAUGCCCCUGAGCUAUAGUGUUCUUGAGACUGAGAAAACGGAUAUGGAAUAUGUGCAACAUUGGAAGAUAAUACUCCUGAGUUAUAAUGUUCUUGUGACUGUGGAAAAAGAUAUGGCAUCUGGACAGCAUUCGAAGAUGAUGCUCCUGAACUAUAAUGUCCUCCAAAAACAGAACGUGCACCUGGUACUAGUGUUAGAGUACCUCCAGUAAUGAAAGGCACAUUAACAGAGUUACUAGAAGACCCUUGAGCCAUGGAGGAAUAAGAACCAGAACCAGUAUUCCCUUGCAUAUACAAUCCAGCAAUAUUUGGAGACAAAUUUUGAAUAACAGAAUCAGCUUCUCUUUCUGCACACAAUAACUGCUCCCUAAACUCUCUUAGCGUUAUAGUUGUAUCUCUUGUAAAAAUUACAGUUCUUAUAACCGAAUAUUCUCUUGGUAAACCAGACAAUGCUGCAACAAUAAAAUCAUUAUCACUCACUACUUCUCCCACUGCAACUAACUGAUCUUUAAUAUUUCUAAGACGAGACAGAUAAUGAUCAAUCGAACUUGGCCCUUUCUGCAUAGUCUGAAACUCUGUCUUGAGGGUAUUAACCCGAGCUUUAGAAACAGAUGCAUAUCGAUCUUGCAAAUUUAUCCAAGCUUCAUGCGCAAUUCUAGACCCUAAAACAUACUCAAUUGACUCAUCCAACAAGGUAGCAAUCAAUAAACUCAGAAAAGCAAGAUCCACAGACUCCCAUUCCAAGAAUGCAUCAGAAACUGUAUUAGUGACCUCGUGAUCCGCACUAACUACAUACUUUAGUAGACAAACAGAACCAUCAAAAUGACCAAACAGUUUAUAGCCUUUGAGAACAGAAGUAAACUGAAACACCCACUUCACAAAAUUCUUAUCAUUCAGCUUAAUGGUCAGCAUGCCUAAAAGGCUCUCCACUUUCACAAAUGACGACGUUAUGUGUACAAUUUGUAAGAAAACAAAGAAUCUUCACACAGAACUUUAAGAACCUUCAAUCCAGAACAGUAAACACCCAAUUCAACAAACUACACAAAUCAAGAAAUGACUGGCUUUGUGCCCACAACAAUCUACAGCAAAGUAAUCACCAAUGGCUUUGUGCCCACUACAAAUCAAAACUCAAGAAAUGGCUUCGUGCCUUCACAAACUACAGACAACCAGAAAUGGCUUCGUGCCUCCAAAUCGACAUAUUUGCUUACAACUUUGAACAAUCACUAGCAAUAACAGAACUACACAGAAAUUAGGUCAAGAAAAAUUAGGGAAAUUUAACCUGAAUCUGUCUUCAACUCACAGAACGAAGAACACCAAAAUCACCAUUGAUGUAGCACGCGAACCCAUAAUCCACACAGAAGAAUCACUGCCUCGAUACCAUCUUAACAGCUAAAGAAAUGCAGAAGAAAUCUUAGAGAGAAAUCGAAGAAGAAGGAAGAAAGAGAGAGAGAGAGAAAGAGAGAGAGAGAAAGAAAGAAAGAGAGAGAAAGAGAGAAAAGGAAACUGAACAGUCUUUCUGUAUUGUAUUGAAUCAAUGAUUACACAUGGUUUGCUAUACAUAUAGCUGUUUACAAUUGAUGACUCAGCACUCUCUUUCUUAACCAACUAACUAACUUGUAACUGACUUGUACUAAAUGGCAUGUGGUGUAUGUUAAGCUAUUAUACACCCUCAGUUAUCAGUUAUUAUAGAGUAGGGCUAUGUACACAAAAUGCGUAAACAGGAAUGCAAUCACAAUAACAGUUAAGUAUUGGUAAACUAAGUUGUAAUAUCAAAGCGGAGUUGAUAAGUUCUGGUUUCACAUAUCUUUGUUGUGGAAAGAUUCUCACAACCAACAAGUAACUGAUUAAGCACUUGAAUAUGUCUUUGUGUACAUAUAGCACGGUCAAUCCAUAACUUCCACAUGUAUGAAAAUAAAAAAAGUUCGUAUUCCAUCCAUAUUGUUUAUGUGGGACCAUGAUUUUCCGGGCCGAAAUAAAACUUAUCUAAAUGCUGUUACCUUAGAAGUCCGACCAUGUACUCACUAGCUCUGUGCGGAGCUGUAUCAGACGGAGUAGGGUGCCAACAUCACUUUACUCUAGGGCACCAGGUGGACCAUACUUGCGCUUAGAUGAAAAAUGUCAACAGUAAUGCUAUUUUUACCAUGUUUUUAUACUACAUUUAUAUACUACCUUAUGUGGUAUCUAAUGUGGACAGCCAUAUCAUUUAAAUUAAUCAGAAUUUAAUUUAAAUUAAAAACCACUUAAUAAACCAAUAAUUUAAACUCAUUUUAAUGGUUCAUAAUAAGCUUUGAAUUACAAACGAUGCAUUCUGUCAAAGAAAAAAAAAGUUAAAUAAAAUUAUCCAAAUAAAAGCCUUUUUUUUGGGGGGGGGGGGGGGGGUUUAGAUCCAGGUCAAAAAACAUAAAGUGUUUUUAGGAGUGAGUCCAGUUAUCUAAUUAUAUGUUUUUAUUUCUUUUAUACUCAUUGUAUAUUUCUAAAAAUAUUAAAAUCAAUUAAAAUCUUCUAAUAUUAUGCAUUUUCCAACUCCAAAAAAAAUAAUUAAUAUCUUAUAACAAAAACACUAAUAUACGAACAUAAAUUUAUCUGCAAAACAUUCUACCCUAACUCCAGUAACAAAUAUAUGAAUGUAUAUUAUACCUAUACGUGAGAUAUGAAACCUAAUUAAAAGGUAGAAAACAUAACAUAACUACAAGCAAGACACAUUAAUCUGUGACAGAUUGAUUAUAAAAAAAGAAUUUGUCAUAUAGGUAGAUAAAUAUAAUAUAAUUAACCUGUGGAUUAUAAAAAUUAAAAAUAAAAUCUAUAAAUGAAGUUUAAAGCAGGAGGAAGAACGAGAAAUAACAAAAAGAUAAAUAAAAAGAAAUAAGCAAAGACAUAAUUGGGAAGAAAUUUGAUUUUUAUAAUAAAUCUUAUCAUUAAACAUAUAACUAUUGAUAAUUAAAUAAUUAAAUACAACAAAUUGGACUUAUUUUAAUAAAAUGGAUUAUUCCUAUUGGCUAAAAAAUUGGACUUAUAUCAAGUUUCCCUUUUUUUUUCUCGUUUUGCUAACAUGUAUAAUAUAUAUAUUAGCAUUUAGCAACUUCUUUCAGAUAGAAUACACGCAGCUAUGUGAACAAACAAAAUUAUAGGCAUCCAAAAGAGUGUUAAAGUCUUUGUCAUCGAAGUGUUGUAGUAUCUUGUAAACGAAAGCAUCUUGUUUCGAAUUCACCUCCAUUUGAACCAACAUAAUCAAAGCUUCCUUUACUAUUUAAGUCAAAAUGUAUGGAACCCCACUCAACCUUAAGCUUUGUAUCUUUAUUUUCUUCUCUUAUUCCUUGUUCAUAAAUCUGAAAAGUUGAUCCAUUGUUCUUCUUAUGAGCAUCAUUCAUCAUCUCUGCUGUGUUUCCUCCUCGAUCUUGUUCGCUCAUAUUCUCCAUAAAAUUCGAUAGAGCCAAAUUGAAAUCCGUUAAUUGUGCUCUUGUUGCUUCUAUAUUAUGGGACCCUUUUACGUCGAGGGUGAGACCCUUUUGGGCCUUCUCCAAUAUGGCUUGCAAGUACUUCUCUUGAGCUUCAAUUCUCAUCUGCAACUUCUUUUGAACCUAUUUUAAAAAGUAGCAACAAUUAUUAGAAGAUGAGCCGUAUGAAUGUUGAGGUUCUAUCCAAAACGAAUUAGAAAUGGGAAGUGACCCUCCUUAGAAGCCACUGCAAGGUUUAUUAAACCUUCGAUGUGGGAUUCGCUUUUCACAUCGCCACAAGUAAAAGCUAGAAGAUUAUUUGGACACUAAGUUCGAUUUUAGGUAAAUGAUAGCAAAGCAACAUACCUCAAGCUGUUUUGUACUUCAAUCUGACACUUGAGAGCCUCCGACAAUGGAAUGGUUGUGGUUUCAGUAUAUUACCGUUAAUUAGUAUCCAGGCGCUCGAAACAAUCGAAACAGAAAACAUGUGAUCAUUAACUAGCUUAAGCAUCUUUUGUGAAUGGUUGAACUUUAAACAAAUACAAUGUAAAAGAACAAAGACAAAAGCAAGUAAAUUUUCGAAGUGAUAUGAAAGACAUGGAUGGCAACAACAGUAUCCAGAGCACCACUAGAGGAGGGCUAUACGAAAUGCAUAACAGGAAUGCAAUUUUAAUAGCAUUUAAGAACUGGUAUACCAAGCUGUAAUCAAAGCGGAACCAAGAAGUGCUGGUUUCACGUACCCUUGUUCAGUUUUCCCACCUCCUGAUGAUUUGAUGCCAGAACUUGUGGAAUGAAGAUUACUGAAAUGUACAUAUGAAUCCCCUAGAAUUUUAUAAUACAAAGGCAUUAGUAGAUUAUGAAGUUUUCAAAUCAGUUACUUGCAGUAACUUGAGCAAGGAAUCUAAUUUGUUUCCAGUAGUUCGUAUUUCGCUCACCGUUAUUCUCUCGGCUUUGUUCUUCGACGGAGUUGUGUUUCCGAGCAUGCUGUCCAAGUCUAUACUUCGUGAAUUGAUGAGUUUAGUAAUAUGAGAGUGAAUGAAGCUAAGUGUUAUAAGUGAACAAAAUAAAACAAAGAAAGAAUAAGCAAAGAAAAAGAAGAAAGAAUGCUUUUCAAUGAUAUAUUUAUUUCAUCUCAAAACAAGGUAUAUAUACAACCCUAUACAGAUAUGGGAAAGAAUAAGGGAAAGAAUAAUUACACCCUAAACUAGGAAACCAAUUAUAGUAGGAAUCCCACAAUUAUAGGAAUCCUAAUACAAGUCAACACUCCCCCUCAAGUUGGUGCAUAGAUAUUGCACAUGCACAACUUGUCUAGAAACGUGGAGAACUUGUCACUAGAAACCGCCUUCGUGAGAAUAUCUGCUACUUGGUCGUCCGUUCCUAUGGGAGGAACUUCAAUUACUUUACUAUCUAGCUUCUCUUUAAUAAAGAACCGGUCAACCUCUACAUGCUUGGUCCUAUCAUGUUGCACGGGAUUAUGAGCAAUAUCACGAGCAGCUUUAUUGUCACAAAAUAACUUCAUUGGCAGACCUUGUUUGACUCCCACAUCUUGUAACAGAAACUUAAGCCAUAAGAGUUCACAAAUACCGAGUGCCAUGCCUCUAAAUUCGGCUUUUGCACUUGACCUUGAUACAACAUUCUGCUUUUUGCUUCUCCACGUUACUAGAUUUCCCCCAACGAAGGUGAAAUACCCAGAUGUCGAGCGCUUAUCAUCCGUUGAUCCUGCCCAAUCAGGAUCCGUAUAGCACCCAAUUCUGAAAUGCCCAUUUUUCCAAAAUAGAAUUCCUUUACCAGGGCUUCCUUUUAAGUAACUCAAUAUUCUCAUAACUGCACUCAUAUGUUGUUCUCCUAGAUUGUGCAUAUAUUGACUAAUCACACUUAAGGCAUGAGCAAGAUCCAGCCUAGUGUGAGCCAAGUACAUUAAUCUUCCUAUUAACCUUUGAUACCUCCCUUUAUCAACCGGUACUUGGUUUUGAUCUAUACCUACCUUCAUUCCUUCGGCCAACGGAGUAAACAUCGGCUUACACGCUGUCAUACCGGUUUCUUCCAACAGGUCAAGAACAUACUUCCUUUGUGAUAGAAAUAUCCCGGACUUGCAUCUUGACACUUCAAUCCCAAGAAAAUAUUUCAAAGAACCAAGAUCUUUCAUUUCAAACUCUAUGGACAAAUAACUUUUCAAGGCUGCUUGCUCAACAGGAUCGUUACCAGUAACUACCAUAUCAUCCACAUACACAAUUAGAGCUGUAACCUUUCUGUUCUGAUGUUUCAGAAAUAACGUGUGAUCCUAAUUACUUUGCCUAUACCCAAAUGCCCUCAUGGACUUGGUAAAUCUACCAAACCAGGCUAUAGGAGACUGCUUUAAUCCAUACAAUGAUUUCUUGAGCCUACAUACCUUUUGUUUCCGUAUGUCCAACUCAUUGCACCCUGGUGGAAGGUCCAUGUAAAUCUCCUCAGUUAGAUCUCCAUGGAGGAAUGCAUUUUUUACGUCGAACUGUUGCAAAGGCCAAUCCAGAUUUGCUGCUAAGGACAGUAGAACACAAACUGUAUUGAUCUUUGCCACUGGUGCGAACGUAUCAGUGUAGUCGAUGCCAUAUUUCUAUGUAUACCCCUUUGCCACCAACCAUGCUUUAAAGCGAUCUACCGUUCCAUCGGCUUUGUAUUUUACUGUAUAAACCCAUUUGCAUCCCACAGAUUUCUUUCCGGCUGGCAAGUCAGUUAUUUCCCAGGUAGCAUUCUUCUUCAACGAUCUCAAUUCCUCGUUCAUUGCAUCUUUCCAACGGGAAUCUGCUAAAGCCUUCUGCACACUAUUAGGAAUAGAUACAGUAGAUAAUUGAUAUACAAAUGACUUAUUUGAUUCUGACAGGUGACAGGUAGACACAUAAUUGUUUAAUGGGUAUCUCACACUUGAAUCAGAAUUUGGCUCACUCAUGGAAUACUUAUGUUUACACUUAGGAUCUGCCUCAUAAGUGGGUUUGGGAAUACCUCGAUUAAUACGCUCUGGAAGACGACGAAGUGAAGGUGCAUCCGGUGUAGAAGACGAUUGGUUAGGAGAAGUAAUAUCUCGUGACACAUGCUGUAAUUGCUGCUCGGUUUCACUGCAAUUAGGUGGCUGCAUCUCGUUUUCCAACUCAAUACCUGUGAGACCUGUGGCUGCUCCUCUUCCUGACUUGUUGGCUGCUCUUCAGUAGGCUGCUCAGUGGGAUGAUGGCCAAAAUACACGGGUUGCUACCCUUCUCUAGGUGUCGUGGGCCGAUCACCACAACACAUGGGUUGUUGCCCUUCUCCAGAAGCCGUGUACUCUAGGCUCAACGUCACUAUUAUCUCGAGUCAGAACUUCUUCAUUAUUUCCAUACUCCCCCUGAAGUGAAGACGUGGAGGAUCCAAAAAACAUUUCAUUCUCGUGAAAAAUCACAUCCUGAGUAAUAAACAUUUUUUUACUCACAUGGUGAUAACAACGAUAUCCUUUCUGGGUAGUAGCAUACCCCAAAAAAAACACAACGAAUGGCUCGAGGUUCAAGUUUAGUCUUCCGUUGAGUUGGAUGGAGGUGAACAAACGCAACACAUCCUAUGACCCGUGGGGGAAGAUUGGGAGUCGGUGGGUUGCUAGUCUGAGAUGUGAGAGCCUGAAAUGGCGUAUGGAAGUUCAUAGUACUAGACGGAAGACAAUUAAUAAGAUAGGUUGCAGACGUAAGUGCCUCUCCCCAAUAAUGGAGUGGCAGAUGUGCUGCAAGAAGGGAAGCACGAACCAUUUCUAACAAGUGUCGAUUUUUUCAUUCUGCAACCCGAUUCUGUUGAGGAGUAUACGGGCACGUGGUCUGAUGAACAAUACCAUGCAACUCUAAGAAGGAACGAAGUUCCAUAUUAACAUUCUCCCCCAUUGUCACUUCGAAUAACCUGGAUAUUCCGAUUGUAUUGUACAGCAAUCAUUUUAUGGAACCGUUGAAAGGCCGAACUAACUUCACUUUUCGACUUUAACAAAAUAACCCAAGUCAUUAUGGUACAAUCGUCGAUAAAAGUAACAAACCAAUGAGCACCACCAAGAGUAGCUACUUUUGACGGUCCCCAUACAUCAGAAUGCACAAUCAUAAAAGGAACGGUACUUUUAUUUAAACUGGGAGGAAAAGAGGUUCGAUGGCUCUUAGCCAUUUCACAAACAUCACACUUAAACUGAGAAACAUCAUUCUUGACAAACAAACUAGGAAAUAACUUAUGCAUAUAACCAAAGGAAGCAUGCCCAAGGCUCCAGUGCCACAUCCAGAUGUCUAACACUUUAUAAGUAACCCCUUGAGAAUCAUCAACGGAAAGAGCUUGAGUUAGCAAGCUAGAACUACUGGUGGUCAACUCCAAGUAAUAAAGUUUCCCUCUUCUAAUACCAUAACCAAUCAUCUUCCGCGUCCGGAUGUCCUUAAAAACACAAAAAUAGGGCCAAAAAAUAACCAAACAAUGUAAGGCAUGGGUUAUUUGAGCAACGGACAACAAAUUAUAAUUUAGAGAGGGAACCAUAAGAACAGUGUCAAGUUUCAUGGUAUCGGAAAGGGAAACAGUGCCUUCCCCAAUAACAGGGACGGCAGUACCAUUAGCAACAUUGACUUCGGUUUGUGUGGAUGUUUUUAGUGAUGGAACCUGUCUAGAAUCACAAGUCAUUUGUUCAGUAACCCCGGAAUCAAUUAUCCAUGUAUUAUUCAUAACAAAAGUAGAAGUACUUAGUGCCUUACCAUCACUUCCUACCGCAGCUAUCAUGGCAGAUGCCUUGUCCGUUAUCUGAUCCGAAUCAUUCUUGGUUUCUGUAAUGGAGGCUCGAGAUUUGUUAUACCGAGGAUCACGAGUCUUAUCCCAAUUCUCAGGAUAUCCAAUCAGCUCAAAACAGCAACUCUUGGAGUGUCAUGUCAUGCCACAAUGUGGGCACUUACCUUGUGGACGAUCCCGGCUUGUCUGGCUAGGCCGAGUUUGUCCAGGCCAGUUUUGUAUCCCUUCUCGGUUCGACCCAAAAGAUGAUCCACGGGCCUUUGCUGCCAUGGCAGCGGGCUCCCCCUUGUCAACCUCUGUCUUCAUUGCUUCCUUUCGAUCGGCUUCCAGACGAACAUAGGCAUAAGAAGCCUGCAGACCAAGUGAGGGAUCCUUCCGCAGCACUUAUCCACGCACCUGAUCAAACCUAUCGUCGAGACCACCAAGAAACACAUAGACUCGUUGUCUCUCAGUGGAUUUUUGAAACACUUUGAUGUCGUUUUCACACUCCAUGGAUACUUUAUUAAAGUGAUCCAAUUCUUGGAAAAUCUCAGUGAGCUCCCCAAAAUAGGUAGCCAAAUGUCGUCCAUUCUAACGAAGACGUGAUGCCUUCUGAUUCAACGAAUAAAUUCUAGCCUCAUCAUUUUCAUCAAAGUAGGCUGCCUUAAGGGAAUCCCAAAUUUCCUUCGAUGUAGACAACCGAAUGUACCGUUUCAUAAUCUCAGGCUUCAUUGAAGACAAAAGCCAACUCUUAAUUUUUUGAUCUUCAGAGAACCAAUCAUCAUAUUUAGGAUCGUCUUCGUUAGGUGCCUUGAUAGACCCAUGAAGAUAUCCCAUCUUUUUCCUUCCAGCAAUAUGGAUUUGAAUGAGAGGAGCCCAUAAAUCAUAGUUCUUUUCAUCCAAAACCAUACCAAUAUUAAAGCUUGAAUUCUCUGACUGCACCAUAAUUGGAGCAGUCGCUGGAACAAUCUUAGAACCUGUCUCCUUUUCUUCAGCCAUCUCUCUUGCUGUCGGUAUAGCCUAAAACAAAAUUGCAACUCUGUAAUUGCCUAAUAAAAGACUAGGCAGAAAAAAAAAAAAAAAAAAAAAAAAAAAAAAAAAAAAAAAAAAACUUGCGGCGCUGAUGGGACUCCGAAAUCGUUUGAACAAACUGACAAAACAGGUGGCAGCAACAAUUUCACAAUUGCUCGCUGCAAUCGAUCAAGAACACGAGCAGCAACAACUCCUCUAAGUUGCUCGCUGCAAUUGAUCAGGGACACGGCAGGAAAAAUAAGGUUAGGGUUCGGUGUUUUCUUUUUUCUAACCCAGCUCUGGUGCCAAGAAGAAAGAAUGAUUUUCAAUGAUAUAUUUAUUUUAUCUCAAAACAAGGUAUAUAUACAACCCUAUACAGAUAUGGGAAAGAAUAAGGGAAAGAAUAAUUACACCCUAAACUGAGAAACCAAUUAUAGUAGGAAUCCCACAAUUAUAGGAAUCAUAAUACAAGUCAACAGAAAAUACCUGCAAAUCGCUUUUCAGAUGGUACAAAGUUAAUCCAUUCAAUCCCAUGAGUCAUGACCCUCAAGACAGACUUUGGAGUUGCUUCUGAAAACAGAUUAAACUUAACUGGAUUAAUUGGAGAAUUAGAAGUAAGGCUGGUUUCGGUUUGGUAAACCGAAAAUUGGAUAGGGCUUUGUUUAUUAGGCUGGAUCUUUUGGGCUCUCCCAAUUGAAUCCCAUAUUUAAGUGACUUUGAGUGCCAAAUUUUGAUGUAACUUUUAUGUGAGUUCGAGUACCAAAUUUUAAGUAACUUCAAAAUUUAAAUGACAUAGUAAAUAAGUUUAAUUUCAACUUGAAACUUGAAAUAGAAAGCAACUAGUGAAAUUCUCUAUAGCCUCUUCCGGCCCAAAAUGGGUGGAUAACCGUGGCUUGCCUACGGUUGUCCCCCUUUCUAAGUUUUGCUUACCAAAAUUGGACCGAAAAGUUCGGUAAUUUUUAGUUUGGUAAUUUCCGUUUCAAUACUUUCGGUUUCGUUUUGUAAUUUUCGAUUCAGUUUCGGUAUUUGAUUCAGAAAAUGUUAACCUAGUUAGAAGUUAUCAUGUAACAUUAUUAGUGGCUUAAUGUGUUUUAAAAUUUGAAUGGAUUAAACUGAUCAAGAACAAAGUAGUGACAAAAUCUAAUACACAUUCAAAGUUUCACCAUGAUCAUAAACAUUAUGCACGAUUUAUGAUGCUACUCGUAUUUUGUUUUGUCAAACAAUUUAACAUGUUAUAUUCUCGGAUUGUGAAUUGAGAUUAAAAGUAUGCCAGAUAAAGUAUUGCUCAAAAUUCAAAUGUGCAUAUCGUCUAAACAUGAUAACAUGCCCUAUUCAUUCAAAUGGUUCCUACCCAAAAUUCAAUCAAAUACCAGGCUCAAAAAUCCCAAAGAGUUCAUUGGAGUAACAAGAAGUAAAAGAAACAAGUCGUUGAAGGACAGAAAUUCAUCCUGAAGAAAAAUAAGAAGACACUUACUGUCAGGGCCACCGAGUUUAGUUACAGCAUCGACAAAUCUGUCGUGAAGAUCCGGCGUCCACCUCAACCUUGGUUUGGGGUCUCUCGUCAUCAUCACCCCAUUCUCAUAUCCACAAUUCCUUUCCCCUUCACAACUAACAUAAAUAUUCCUCUCCAUCAAUUAUUCAGAUUAAUUCUUCUAGCUUGUUGCAGCUGCUUUUGCUUGUCCGCCAAGUGAUUCUCAGAAACGCAGAAAGUAGCUCCUGAGAGAGACUGAUCGGAGUGGAAAGAAAGACAGAAAGCAGAAGCCGUAAGAAAAAGAAGGAACAUAGAAACAGUAGCAAAAACAAGAAUGCGUUGUUUUCAAGUGGUUUAUUUAUACUUAUUUAUUAAAACAGCAUAUGUUUGAAAUCUAAUGUAGAACUUUAUAGAUUUCGUAGCAUUUAACUAAGUUGAUCAGAGCAAUAUACUCCGCUUUUGCAUUUGUCAAGUUUAGAUUUUCUCCCCUAGUUAAGAUUAAACUAUAAGAGCACCCAAAUCUCAACUAGGUACAUAGCUACUUAAUACACCACUAACUGGCAAUGCAUUUUUAUAAUAAUCGCUAACUAGUUAGUAACGGUAAUACUGCAUGAAUCAAACCGUUAAUUGUAUUGUAUAUUUGAAUCGGAGAGAAAAGUUGGGCGACGAAUCUGAAGAGGAAGCAGCAAUGAUUCCCUUAAUAAUAAAAGGUUUGGCUGGCGGGCUGGCUUAUUCGACGGCAAGUCAUGGUUUCUAACAAGGGUUGCACGUGCAGAGAAGGACACGUUACGAAAUCUCCGCAUGCCACGGGGACUUCGAGAAUAUUAUCAGUGCCUUCCGGUAGGGUGGGUCCCUGCUGUAGGCCAUUGAUUUAUGUCCGUGAAAAGCUGUCUCUGUCCAUCCAUCCCUUCCUCUUAGAUUUGGUUGACAUUAUUUUUAAGAAAAAGAAUGGUGCAUUCAUAUGGUUGUAUCAAUUUUUAGAGGGGCACGGCCUCCUGCCGGUGGGGGACUCGGAGCUUUGCGUGUUUUAAAAAUAAAUAAUUAAGGUUGGUUUUGAAUGAACAACUUCGCUGACAUGGAUGCACCGCUAAAUUAUAUUUUGUGUUAAGAAAAUAAAGAUAUGUGAACAAAAAUAUAUGCAUAAUUUUGUUUCUUUGACAUAAAGCGUCAUUGUGGUAGUAUAUCCUUCUCCAACCUUCAAGUCUUCAAAUUAUCGAGUUGUUCCAACAAAGGAAAUAAUGGUGAAUGAUGGUACACAUGAUUGGAUUAAAAUAGAGAACCCUCAAAUUGCAUAAUGAAAGUGGAACUGUGGAAUGGUUUUUCAUUUGAAGGACACGAGAAAAGGGUUAGCUAUGAAGGAAAUUCAUCCCUUCUAAUCCUACCAUUUUAAGCAGGAUUGGAUUGAAUGAAUUUUCUUCGAGAGUAAUCCCUCUUCUAUCCUCUAGGCCAUCAUAAUUUUAUAUUUCUUCUUUCAACAUACCUUAAUUUGGUAGGCUAUAAAUUACAGUCCAAUCACGUGUAAACAAACCAUACAUUCUUAAUUUAUCAUUACAUUAAAGAAGAAGAAACUCUAUCCCAUGAGAAUGUCAAACAUGUUUGUAAGAUGAGCCAAGUUCCAAAAGACAGUUUUCCACUAGCAAAAUUUGAUUAAUUGGAAAAUAUAACUAUAAAUUCAAAAAUCAUGUAGCAAAUGAAACAAGAACACAUGUACAAAAUCAUUGUUACACACUCAUGCCUUUCGGAUUAAAAAAUGCACGAGCGACAUACCUAACACUUGAAGAUAAACAUUCACUGAAUGAAAAUAAUGAACCAGUUACAAGUUUGAGAAUUAGUCAAUACAACAAGGAGCGCGAAAUAAAGCACCAGUUGGGAUUAGAUUUUGACAGAAUCGACCGUCCAAGACGACAGGGCAAGUGCCAAAAAGGGGAAAGAAUUGGACAGUCCGGUUGAAAAAAUGGUUAAAUCUUAUGAAUCCCCCACCAGGGAUAUGCAUAUAGACCCAGAUACAAAGACUUUCAAGUUGAAUUACCGGUGAGGGGGAGAAUCAUUACUCUUCGGUCUCGAGAGGCAAAUUUUUUGUGAAUUGGAAGAAGUUUGAAUGAGAAAACUUAUUGGGGAGAGUCAUGAGUGGAUCAUUUCCACUGAGUUUUCGAACUGCCAAUCCCAACGCAUAUCCUAAAGCUCGUGCAACCGAAACUGGAACUGCAUUUCCAAUCUGACAAUACCUGCACAAAGAAAUAAGACAAUCAAUGAUAACUCAUCUUAUAGAAUAUUUCAGUUUUCUCUUUCAUUUUCUUCCUCAGUCACAUCACAUCCUGCAGAAAUAACUCAUUCAAAGCACAAAAUGAAAAGUAUAUGCAACUGUGUCAAACUGUAUCGUUUGGAAGGAGAAAUGGUCGUUACAGUGUAGACGAGUGUUUUCCAUAUUAAAAUAUGGAUCAACAAACCAGACACGAAUCAUAAACAAUUCAUCAUUUAUUGAAUAAACUUGCAAAAGGAGUCAAAUAUUCAACGUCACAUUCAUAAGAAAAACUGAAGGACCAUACCUCUCUUUAACUGUCCCACAGAACCUAUAAUAAUCAGGAAAGCCUUGCAAUCUUGCAGAUUCACGUACAGUGAGAAUUCGGUCCUGCUCCGGAUGUAAUACUACCUGCAGAAGGUUAUAGGGUUACCCCAAUAUUCAAAAGAUGAAAUGCCAUAAAGAACUAGACUAGAGAGGAUGGUUAAACCUGGUUGUGACAACUUGGGAAAGUAAGCACAGUGGGCACUGUCUCAUCCCACCAUAACCUCGCAAACGGUCUAAAAAUAUAAUUAAAUUUUUAAAAAAAUAAGAAAAAUAUGAGGAAAUAGAAUAGCAGUAAAUGGUAAAACACAUUAGAAGGCUAACAAAAAAAAAAAGAACCUUUUCGAUUUGCCUUGUUCAUAAGUAAAGCAAUAGUCUGGUACCUGGAAGGAAAAAACACUGGUUACACACUAGCCAAUUUUCAUUUUACUUAUUCACAUUAACAUUGAAAAAAAUACAUCAGUUUCAAUAGCACUCUUUAUUUCAACCUACAGAGGUUCCUGUGAGCAGUUUUGUGUCCUUUCAGUUCCAUUCAGCCCUUUAAGAUGACCUAAAUUCUCACUAUACAUACUUUCGUACAUAGCUAAAUUAUUUUGUUUCUUAUUAACAUCUAAGUAACAAAACUUAGAGUAUCAACACUCACUAAUGGCCUUCCAGAUGGCAACAGAGAAUGCUUUUCAGUUGACUCUCUCCGAGCCACAUUGUCACUUCCAACAACAACACCAGGUAGAUCCCGGAAAUUUGCUCCCUGAAAAUAGCUAUAAGUUAGAAACAACAGAUGGUAACAAAGUUAACAAAAUUUGAAAGACAAAUAAACGUGAAGUUAAACUUAUCCAUGCUAUAUAGAGUGUGUGUGUGUGUGUGUGUGUGUGUGUGUGUGUAUCCAACCUUUCUUUUUGGAAUCUGACAAACUCGUAAGUAAUCAUCUUCGUUUAAGUGGUAAGUCCGAUGGUCAUAUAGUGAAACUGUUGCUUUCGUAGUGCCAUCAAACGCAGAUCCCAUCAUCUCUACACAACCAGCGUAAAUGAAAGUUAAAAUGGAAAUCAUUUAAAUAAGUGUAGAUGGACGUAGAACAGAUCAUAUGAAUGGCCUGCCACCCAAACCAAAAUAACAAAAACAACAAACAAUUACAGGUAGCCCUGGCAUAAUGAAAAUACAAAAAAUUCAAUGUUGCUAGUAAGUAUGAUUUAUCAGUUAUAUUUGCAAUUCUACUAUACAAAAGUUUCUAUAUGUUAAACACAGAUGUCAAGCAUUUAACAUCAUUAUUUUUCAAAUGUGGAUAUGUAGGGGCAAAGGAUAAGAACACACUUUCUCAUUUGAAAUACUUGGAAUUUAGCACAUAUCAUGACAGAGGAGCUAAGCCACAUCAACCUUAGAAGUUUACCAAGAGCAUACUAACGGGGGCUCUAAGGGCCAAGAACAAAUUUGGUAUAUGCUGAUGAUGUUAAACAUUAACUGUAUACAACAAGUUCUGAAAAUAGUGAUAUUACCAUGCUGUGUUGACCUUAUAUAUCUUUGGAAAUCUGUUUCAGGAGGCUUUUGGAAUGGCAUUUCUUCUCUUUUUUCAUUGUUUGAGACCUAUAAAUUUAAACACAAUUAGAAUUUUGUUGAAUUGUAAGAGAAGAGCUAAGCUUCAAAUACGAUGAACUUACAGAAGGAAGAUCCGAGAUGGCAUCGCGAAGAACAAGAGCUUUUUCUAAUAAUUCACGAGGUUGUUCUUCAUCAUAAGCAACAGUGUUCCGCUGCACAUGAAGGCAAACAAUUUAAUUAGUAAAGAAAAAUAGAACUGAAAGUUUAAGGUUUGCUUAGAAGUACCUCAAACUCUGGUGGAGGCCAGUAUCUCACUAUGACAUCAUGUGUUGGAAGAGGAAACUGUGGCAGAUUCUGUGAAGAUAAAAAAGAGGGGAAAAUACGUCAGGCUCUUUUGGCCUUCCAAAAAUGAAUGAAUGCAUUAUUAAUCGGUAACGCGAGAAUUUGAGUGAGCUUGAAUUAUGUUUCAUAAGUCUAGUUAUGGAUUUUAUGCAUGGGGCAUGCCUUUUAGCUUUGUCUGUGCAUGUAUAUGUGUGUGACUCAGAUAUGCUAAAGAUAUAUUUUCUGUUUCUUAUUCUUUUUCUAAUGUUUGACGAUGAAAACAGUUAUAUGGCCCAUAUACGUAUUGAAAAGAAACGUAAUAACCAUACUUUUAUUUUGGGAAACCUAAACUGAAUAGUAACCAACAAGUAUCUAGCUAUCACAUAAAAGAAAUUUCAGGUCAGAUUCAUGGAAUGCUCAUUGUAUUUUUCGUGUUACUCUCGAUCAUUUAUUAAAACAAUGAAACAAAAAGAGAUCACCUCACAAGCAUGAGCACCCCACAAGAAAACACGCAACCGAAAUUGUGGAAGGCCAUAACAACCGGCAGCAAGUAUUCCCAGCCUCGCUUGGUACUUCAUAUGCACCAAACGACUAAGUGCAUAUCUUCCAAGAGAAGCUUUGUCAAAUCUCAAAAUGUCAACAACAUUUUCCAUCAGCACAAACUUUGGCUUCAAGAAGUUUACAAUAUCCAUGAAGACUACAAUUUGAUGAUUCCUCUCAUCAUCCAAUGGAGAAUCAACGUUUCUAUAGCGAUUAUAGCCGCUAAUUCCUUGGCAAGGAGGGCCCCCGCAAAUUACAUCAACAUCUCCCUGAAAUUGUACAUAUCUAUUUAGGAUUCGGAUAGCGAAACACAAGAUCAGUAUAUAUGAUACUACUUUAGCUUGUUCAAUCAGUUACUACUUACUGGAAGUGGCAAAAUUUUCACUUUCCUCCCAUUUCUUACAAAAUCCUGUAUACUUUCUUGGCAGUUACUGAGAAGAUAAAAAAAUAAAAAAUAAAAUUAGUGCUGAUGCGGAAAGUCAUAUUCAUAAUCAUAUCAUAAGAAGUGGUAUACCUUAAGCCUUCAAUUGGUUCCCAUGUAUCUUCACUGCUACCAUAACCUUUCCAAUGCACCUAGAAAAACAAUACGAUUAAAUAUUUAUUAUGAUAAAUAAUUUUGUAGAAAAAUGAGAUAAUGUUAAGAGUGAAUGAGGAAUUCACAGUCGAAUUGCAUGGAGCAAAAAUAACAGUAACAACUAUGAAAAAAGACUAAAAACCUAACAAUGGAAAACGUCACUUUACAAAAAAGUAUCUUAGGUUAAUAGUUGAUAUUGAAGACUCCCUAAAAUCUGCAGUUACCAAUGCCAAGAAAGCUGACCAAAACCUAAGUCAAUCCUACAGUUCAUCCUGCUGACUUGUGUACAUUUAAUUGUAAAGAUUAGCUGCUGAGUAAUUGUACAGACAUUUACAAGAAUUUUAAAAUUAUAGACACGACUUUUGCCAAUUCCCAAAACCUCGCAAUGCAAAAUUAUGGACGUGAGUUUUGUGAAUUCCGAAAACCAGCAACUCCUAAACUAAAAGCGGAUUUAACACUACAAUCCUCUGUACCUAAUGUAAGAAAUCAUAUAAGGUUUUCCAACCCAACUCAUGCAUUGAUUGCCUUACAUGGUAACACACAAGUUUUCUAAGUAGCGGUAACAGAACAGUAGCUAAACCACUUUGUUUUAUGCUUCAGGAAUUUCAAUAAUAACCAGAGGACAUGAUGUUACGCAUGUGUGCACAAAAUCUUUUGCAUCCCUCAAUGACAUUGCAGAUAUUGUCAUCAGACAUCUUAGAAGCAUUUUUGUUUUACCUUAAGGUUCACUCCACGCUUGCCUGUCUUAUUAGGAUCACCAAAGCAGAUAUCAACAAUCCUCGAAACUUCAUAUUCACCGGUACCAACCUCAUUACCAUUCUUUGGUACACUUAAGGUCUUCGAUCUUAAUGGAUGAGUUCUUUCGACAUCAUUGGCCUUAUGCCUUCUGCAUAACUUUUCCCAUUCCUUCAACAGUUGUAGAAAAUCCUCAGCAGUUUCAUUCCUGACCUACAAAAAGAAGCAUAGAAUUAUUCUGUAAUGUCAUUGAAGGGUAAAUUGGCUAUUACCUAGAAACGGAUAAGAUAUCUCACUUGCGUUUCUGGAUGAUUUAACUUCAAGCUUUCACAGGCAGAUUUAUCACUGUCAAGGGCCCAUUUCUACAAAAAAAAAAAAAAAAAAGUAAGAUUAGCUAUUCAUGACAACAUGUUUAAAGGAUACAGAAUCCAAAUACAAAUUAUAAAAAUAUUUAUAUAGUUGAAUACCGUGACAAGAUUAACACAGGAAAGUUUAGCACCAAAGCACAAUCCAGUUGACAUUCCACCACAACCACAAAAAAGAUCUAAGAGGGCUAAUUCUGCUUUGUAAGUUUCAGAGCUGGGCAUAUUCUCCAGUAAGUUUGAAGUUGACAGUGUACCAACUGCUUGGAUUGAAUUGCAUGAUGGCAUGUUGUGGCUCUUCACAGAAUUAUCUGAAGUAAAAAUAGACAACGCUGAACUGUCAAAUCUUGGGAAUUGACGUUUCAGUAUAAAGUUUAAUUUCUUUGUCUACAUUUUGUCCCUUUGGGUAGAUCUUGGAGGGCCAAUUAGUAGAAAUACAAACAAAACGUUUUCUAUAUAGGUAAUACAAGGAUUACCAGACUAUUUCCGUAUCCCAUUAGAUAUAGUUUCUUUAAUAAGUCAUUCAAGAUUGUUUAUUAAAUUUUAUAAUAAGUGAUGAAUGAAUUUUAAUACAAACGUCCAAAAUUACAAUAGAGGUGACCAAUCCCCAAAAUUCUUUUUGAUUGACACCAUCCGUAUGACCAAAAAACUUCCAGCACACUGAAGCCCAAGGAGUUCUACCACAUACAUAGCAACUACAACAACAACAACAACAACAACAAAGCCUUUUCCCACUAAGUGGGGUCGGCUAUAUGAAUCCUAGAACGCCAUUGCGCUCGGUUUUGUGUCAUGUCCUCCGUUAGAUCCAAGUACUCAAGUCUUUUCUUAGGGUCUCUUCCAAAGUUUUCCUAGGUCUUCCUCUACCCCUUCGGCCCUAAACCUCUGUCCCGUAGUCAUAUUUUCGAACCGGAGCGUCAGUAGGCCUUCUUUGCACAUGUCCAAACCACCGGAACCGAUUUUCUCUCAUAUUUCCUUCAAUUUUGGCUACUCCUACUUUACCUUGGAUAUCCUCAUUCCCAAUCUUAUCCUUUCUCGUGUGCCCAUACAUCCCACGAAGCAUCCUCAUCCCCGCUACACCCAUUUUGUGUACGUGUUGAUGCUUCACCGUCCAACAUUCUGUGCCAUACAACAUCGCUGGCCUUAUUGCCGUCCUAUAAAAUUUUCCCUUGAGCUUCAAUGGCCUACGAUGGUCACACAACACGCUAGAUGCACUCUUACACUUCAUCCAUCCAGCUUGUAUUCUAUGGUUGAGAUCUCCAUCUAAUUCUCCGUUCUCUUGCAAGAUAGAUCCUAGGUAGCGAAAACGGUCACUUUUUGUGAUCUUCGCUAGAUUGCUCCGGUCAUUAGUGUGGAUAAGUAUAUAAAUGGAUAGAGAUAGGAAAGCAAACACAAGAUGUAUGUGGUUCACCCAGAUUGGCUACGUCCACGGAAUAGAGAAGUUCUCAUUAAUUGUGAAGGGUUUACACAAGUACAUAGGUUCAAGCUCUCCUUUAGUGAGUACAAGUGAAUGAUUUAGUACAAAUGACAUUAGGAAAUAUUGUGGGAGAAUGAUCUCGUAACCACGAAACUUCUAAGUACCGGAGUGUGGUAUCGUCUUGACUUGCCUUAUCUGUCUCAUAGGUAGAUGUGGCAUCUUUUCUGGAAGUACUCUUCCUCCAUCCAGGGGUGGUAUCUGUAACUGGUGGAGAUGCACAAGGUAAUGUAUCUAUUUCACUUGAAGCUUACUUGUAGUUUCAGGCUUGGUCAAGCGCGAUACAAACCAUGUAGUAGGAGUCCCCCAAGUCGCCGAGCUAGGGGAUCUGCUGAAAGAGGUGACAGACAAGGUAAGCAAUCAGAGCUCCGGCUGAUUGUUCACAUUCUCCCUAUCUUGCAGGCAGCAUGAAGGAUAAAGAGAAGAAAAAUGAGAAGAGAUGAUAUGGGAUACUUUUGCUUUUGAAGAAGUAACUUUCUACAGGCUUAUUCUUGAACUGGGCUGGAGGGUUUUCUGGUUUCCUCCAUAGUAUAAGGCCGACUAAAGAAUUUGAGGGUCAAAACAAGUCCAUCAAAUCUAGAGUACGUUCGACCUUGCUGAUAUGGGAUACUUUUACUUUUGACAGAGUAGUGGAUGUAUCGGCACGUGUGCUGUUACGCUUGUCUCCACAUGCUUCCUUGUAUCCUUCUCACUUGCCCUAUCUGUUCCUCAGGCAGAUGCGGUAUCUUCCCUGGAAGCAUAAGAUGUUGAAGAUGAGUACUCGAGAGCAAUGCCAGGUAAGUAAUCAGGUAAGGGGUUCCAGGCAGUCAGUUCCUGGCUGGAAGCUUGAUUCCAAGUGCUGACUGAUUGCUCUCUUUCUCCUUGUCUUGCAGGUAAGAACAAGGCCAAAGGAAAAGACAGGGAAAAAGCAUGAUAUGGGAUACUCUUGCUUUUAACCCUGAUGAUAUGAGAUAUUCUUGCUCUAGUAUAGCUUGUUUAUUGAGGUAUUAUCGGGGGGAAAGAAAGCUGAAUAUUUCGAAAGGCUUCGUUGGAAGUGCCCUCUCAGAUAAGAGGAAGGGUUGAGCAUUUUUGCAGGUCUGCCUAUCCGUUGGGGAUGGAGGUCGACAUAUAUAAGAGUCUCCCUAACAUCAAGUAAUAAUGUUAUUCCUUUACCCUGCUUGGUCAUAGCACGGUAGUGGGAGCUGCCAGCUUCACAUGUUUUAACUCUGUCAGAGCACUUUGAAAAAGUGGUCUGUGGUAUCUGGAAAGCUGAUGUUGCGUGUGAAGAUUACAGACAAGCUUUAUCCAAGGAGAUCCAGCUCUUGAAGUUGGGAAAGUGGUGCCUCUUUGGUUUUCGAACAAGCAAUCCUGUCGGGGAUCUGGCUCUCGAGAUUCGGAGAACGAUGCCUCUUCGAUUUUUGAGAAAGCAAUCCUGCUGGGGGUCUGGCUCUCGAGAUUCGGAGAGCGGAGUCUCUUCGAUUUUUGAGAAAGUAAUCACGUUGGGAGUCUGGCUCUCGAGAUUCGGAGAGCGGUGCCUCUUCGAUUUUGGAGCAAGCAAUCUUGUUGGGAGUGUUUUCUCGAAUGUGAGUAAAGGUUGGGCAUGUUUGCUAGUCUACCUUGCCACGAAGCACAGAGGUUGACACACAGGGACUUUCCAAUUAUCCAGCAGUGGUACUGUUCCUUUACCCUCUCUUCGAUUUUUGAGAAAGUAAUCAUGUUGGGAGUCUGGCUCUCGAGAUUCGGAGGGCGUGCCUCUUCGAUUUUGGAGCAAGCAAUCUUGUUGGGAGUGUUUUCUCGAAUGUGAGUAAAGGUUGGGCAUGUUUGCUAGUCUACCUUGCCACGAAGCACAGAGGUUGACACACAGGGACUUUCCAAUUAUCCAGCAGUGGUACUGUUCCUUUACCCUCUCUUCGAUUUUUGAGAAAGUAAUCAUAUUGGGAGUCUGGCUCUCGAGAUUCGGAGGGCGAUGCCUCUUCGAUUUUGGAGCAAGCAAUCUUGUUGGGAGUGUUUUCUCGAAUGUGAGUAAAGGUUGGGCAUGUUUGCUAGUCUACCUUACCACAAAGCACAGAGGUUGACACACCGGGACUUUCCAAUUAUCCAGCAGUGGUACUGUUCCUUUACCCUUGUGGGUAAUAAUAUGGUAGCUAGACCUUCAAAAUUUAUGUGUCUAAACUUUGUUAGUGUUGUUUCUUUCCUAUUCUUUUACCCUUCUUGGUCAGAGCGAUGUAGUAGGAGCUGCAAGCUUCACGUGUCUCAACUUUGUCAGAGAACUUUGGCAAAGUUAUCUGUGGUACCCAUGAGCUACUGUUGCGUGUGGGAAGUGGGUGAUUGAACAGUACGAUUCAUGUGCUUUCUACUUCGCCAGAAAUGUUCGACAGAAUGCCCAUAAUUUCCGCAAAGCUGAGUGUGCGUGUGACAGGUGCUGACAAGGCUGGAAGAGUAGGUGCCUCUUCAAUUUCUGAGAUCGGCCCUCGUGGUCUCUGAGCAGCCCAGCUUUUGAGAAAGCAAGCCUCUUCGAUUUCUGAGAUCGGCCUUCGUGGUCUUUGAGCAGCCCAGCUUUUGAGAAAGCAAACGCCUCUUCGAUUUCUGAGAUCGACCCUCGUGGUCUUUGAGCAGCCCAGCUUUUGAGAAAGCAAACGCCUCUUCGAUUUUUGAGCAGGCGCCUCUUCGAUUUCUGAAGCUUCGUCGAGUGCAGAUUUUUAUAGGGGCUGACAUUAAGCUCCAAAGCACACUUGAAUAUCCACCCGUAGAAGCUCCAUUCUUGCACUUCUAAGAUCUUGAUUUGUCCGACCUCUUCUCUCUUCAACACCUUUGAAAAUGUCUGGCCCCUCCGACCGUCGUUUUGACUUGAACCUUGUUGAAGAGGCAGCCCCGCCUUCUCCAGACAACAUAUGGCGCCCAUCCUUCGUCUCCCCUACUGGUCCUCUUACCGUUGGGGAUUCCGUGAUGAAGAAUGAUAUGACCGCUGCAGGUAGUGGCCAGGAACCUUCUCACUCCCAAAGAUAACAGACUACUUUCCAAACGGUCUGAUGAGUUGGCUGUUAAGGAUUCUCUGGCUCUCAGUGUUCAGUGUGCAGGUUCUGUGUGUCUAAUAUGGCCCAACGCCUAUUUGCUCGAACCCGCCAAGUUGAAUCAUUGGCGGCUGAAGUGAUGAGUCUCAAACAGGAGAUUAGAGGGCUCAAGCAUGAGAAUAAACAGUUGCACCAGGCUCGCACAUGACUAUGCUACAAACAUGAAGAGGAAGCUUGACCAGAUGAAGGAAUCUGAUGGUCAGGUUUUACUUGAUCAUCAGAGAUUUGUGGGUUUGUUCCAAAGGCAUUUAUUGCCUUCGUCUUCUGGGGUUGUACCGCGUAAUGAAGCUCCAAAUGAUCAACCUCUGAUGCCUCCUCCUUCUAGGGUUCUGUCCAGUACUGAGGCUCCGAAUGAUCCCCCUCCGGUGCCUUCUCUUUCUGGGGCUCUACCGACUGCUGAGACUUCUCCUAAGCAACCUUUGUGAAGGCUCCCUCUUGUUUGUUUAUUUUGACUCAAGUAUAUGUACAUAUUUGUAACUUAUCGGGGAUAUCAAUAAAUAAGCUUUCCUUCAUUUCAACGUAUUGUGUUAAAUACACCAAAGCCUUCUUCGCUAAGUUCUUUGAAUUUUCUUUUGUUGAAGCUUGUAUGUUGAAGCUUUCUGAGUGGAGCAUGUAGGUUGAGGUAGUGUUCCCUUAAUUUCCCGAGUGAGGAAAACUUCUCGGUUGGAGACUUGGAAAAUCCAAGUCACUGAGUGGGAUCGGCUAUAUGAAUCUUAGAACGCCAUUGUGUUCUGUCCUGUGUCAUGUCCUCCGUUAGAUCCAAGUACUCUAAGUCUUUUCUUAGGGUCUCUUCCAAAGUUUUCCUAGGUCUUCCUCUACCCCUUCGGCCCUGAACCUCUGUCCCAUAGUCGCAUCUUCUAAUCGGAGAGUCAGUAGGCCUUCUUUGCACAUGUCCAAACCACCGUAACCGAUUUUCUCUCAUCUUUCCUUCAAUUUCGGCUACUCCUACUUUACCCCGGAUAUCCUCAUUCCUAAUCUUAUCCUUUCUCGUGUGCCCACACAUCCAACGAAGCAUCCUCAUCUCCACUACACCCAUUUUGUGUACGUGUUGAUGCUUCACCGCCCAACAUUCUGUGCCAUACAGCAUCGCCAGCCUUAUUGCCGUCCUAUAAAAUUUUCCCUUGAGCUUCAGUGGCAUACGGCGGUCGCACAACACGCCGGAUGCACUCUUCCACUUCAUCCAUCCAGCUUGUAUUCUAUGGUUGAGAUCUCCAUCUAAUUCUCCGUUCUUUGGGAAUCACCCAACUUGCAUGAGCUGUAACGUAAAGGGAGAAUGAAGAGAAACGCGAUCUGCACUUUCUUCACCAGCCUCAGAAAGAAUGCAGCACUGAGGGCUAACUUUCUCUUUACCCAAUAAACAUAAAAGAAUUUGUAUCUUAGGAGACUUUUUCCUUCCAAAUCUGACCAAUAGGUUAAAGCAUGACAAUGCACAUUCAUUGCAUUAAAAAAAGCAUGUACAUGUUUCUAAAACUUUCUAAUUAGUAGUUGCCCUACCCCCUCCCUCAUUUUUUUGAGCGGUAUAAUCCAAUCUUAUGGUACACCACACCAAACAUUGCAUGGUAUUGAAAGUAUCAUAUCUAGUCUAUUCCAACUAUUGAGCAAAGCCAAUCUAACCAAAUCAUGCGCAAAAAAAUAGAACCAAACAAAUAAACCUAUCAUUGUCACAGUAUGAUCCACUAACCAGAGAUGAAGGAGCGAAAUGUGGAAUAGUCCACACAGUAUUCCAUAUCAUAGUAGAAGUCAGACGGCGAAAUGGAGUUCACUUUUAACCCUACCUGAAAAAGUCAAAAGAUUAGUACUUCACUAGUAUAAUAUACAGCACGUGUUUGGCAAAAUGGCAAGAUACAAGAAAUCAUUAACAGAAGUCAAUUUUUAAACAGUAGAAAUAAUACCUUAGGGGAUAUAUGUGUAACAUUGACUUUUGAAAUAAUGCAAUCUAUCAAAUUAUCGUUCAUUACGGUAGAAUAGAAUAAACGCCUCUUGUCAUGAGAAGUUCCUACUUCUUUAAUAACCUGAGAAACAAAUAGAAAAACCAAAGAAUGGUUAGUGGGAUAUACCUACCAUGGGUCCGUACUCAACAAUUUCACAAACUCACCGUAUCUUCAACUUUAUAAAACCACUGGACUCUAAAAUAUUUUUCUCCAUCAGCUGUCUUGAAAAAUUCUAUGAUCCUUCCCACAUGCUUUUGUCCUUCAUCACCCUGUAAAAAUUACCUUAACAUUUAUUUCAAAUGCUCGUCGGAAUGCAACUAAAACUACAUAAUACUAUGCAUGAGCUCUCCAGGAUAGGUCCAAACAAACUAUAAGUCUGCAACUAACACUACUCUGAAGAGUUAAGGUCGUAUUUGAUGUUUUCCAUACAUCAUACAUCCAACAAAUUUUCCAAAAUAAGACUAUGUAUCAAUAUUCAACACACCUAUAACUACAGAUUAAGAAGGCAUCUACGCAAGUAGAGCAUGUGGAAGCAAUCUGUAAUCGCUUAAAAAAAACCCAUGAUCAGUAGGGCAAAAAGAGAAAGUACCUCUAUGUAAGCACAAUCUCCAAGAUCGAAGAUGCAAUCGCCAAUUUUAGCUUGAGAAAAGUGACAUUCAACGUCCAAAAUUAUCUCAUCUUCUUCAUCUUCACUACAACCAUGUAUAAAUGAGAAAAUAAAAGGCAUAACCACAAUAGAUGAAAAAGGAUCAGCUUCUCGCUACUCGGGAGCACAAUGCCUAAGUUCUUAACUAGUGAGGGGGUCCAAUAACAUGUUCUGUGUAAAACUGUGAGCAAACAUGUUUUAUUUUCCUUAAAAGGAAUCAAAAUAUCUUUUAUAAGACACAUACUUCCUUUGUUACCAUUUUCUCUUGUGAACUGUCAACAUGUCAUUGCUCCUUUUUCAUCACUACUUACCCAGUACAAAAACAAGAACAACUAAUCACAUCCCAUAUGGUGUGGGAUAAUACAUAGCAAUGAAGUCAAAACCCCCUUACAGGGAGAGCAACGUACAUAAAAUGGGGUUCACCGAGACCAUGGCGUCCCGCCAAUAGUCAUUGACAUGUGGAGAGAAGACAAUGAGUUAUUGGACCAGGACACUACGUGGCGGUGAACCCAUUCCAUGUAAGUCAUUCUCCCUCCUGCACUAGGAAGUGACAUACCAUGCCUAUCCCUCUUUCCAACAAAAAAUAUUCCCUGCCUGCACAUUCUUUUCCAUCCAGGUCAUGAGUGAAUCUAUUUUCCAAUUCAAAAGAAGAGGCAUCUUUCACUCCACAUUCAUUUCCAUCCAGGCCGUGGGUGAAUCUAGUGCUUUGAGAACAUAUGUGAUAAGAUUAAGAAUAAAAAUUCUGUGCUCACAAGAGAAGUAGAUGUGUUGAUCCAAGAGAUGCAACAUGUAGUUAGCAAGACAAAAGAGAACAGUGGGAGUAAGUCUAUGACAAAAGACAUUUUCUACUUUUAAAAAAAACAAUGUUUGGUAACAAGGUUAUAUGAACAUAUGCCACUACAUGUUUCUACCACCUCACCAGUCAAGACAAUGUGCUCUGUCCAUGAAGCUCUGAAGAAAACUAUAACCAAACCCUCAAAGAGAUAAUUUAUGAACUAUUUAUUACUCACUUUAGCUUCAAGCUUUGUCUUUUAGAUCUUUGACUCUGCAAAACUCCAACACAGGCACAACCAGAACUAAAUUACACAGGCACAACCAGAACUAAAUCAUAUUAAACACAAUACUGUUGUGGUGUUUAACUAAAAACUCAAGAAACCCUACAACAGAGUUUAAUCUAUUCAAAUCACCAGAUGGCUUCACAAAUACAAGUUAAAUAGUCAAGAGCAAAAAAUUAUUCUACCAACAUAAAAUGAAAUAAAAUUGCAUGGAUAGACAUUAAUACACGUGCACUCAUUUAUAUACAUAUAAAGUGCACUUAUUUAUAUACAUGUUUUUCAUGGAUAUCAUGUAUUUAUGUACAUGCUUAUAAAAUCUGAAUAUAAGUGCAGAUGAGGCCUUCACUACAAGAAGUUGAGUGGCUAAAUAUGCAUCUUUUACUGCUUUAGUUUCCCACCGACAAUAAGAGAAAAACUUAUGGAGAACUUUUUAUGCUGUGUCAACUUUAAUCAUUUUAAAUUAGAGUUUUUUUUUUAGAAGGUGUUAGAAUAUGAAAACAAAUAGUUUACACCAUGUCAGGCUUUGAUCCAGCUGAGGCUAUUUGGGAAGCAACUGUUCGGAUUAUGGUGAAGAUUAGAGGGGGAAUAAUGUGAUCUGCUACAGAAAGAACUGAUGACUUCCUCCUAGCUAGUGCAUCGUGGGUAAGAUAAAAGGGGAAAGUGUAGAUCUCUUGUUGAGAGAGCAAAAAAUGGCACACCAGUCCAUCGUGAAUUUUUAUUCAAGUUUGUGGAGUUCUUGAACUUGAAUUAUAUCUAUUUUUUAUUAUUAAGCAUUAAUGAUGAUAUUCUUGUUGAAUUAUAUUUGUUUUAGUUCAUUUUUAAGCAUGAAUGACAUUUUUAUGGUAUGCCUCAUAAGUCUUAAAAGGCUUAUGCCACACAUAGAGGUUAAUUAUCAUGGUAUGCCUCAUAAAUCUUAAAAGGCUUACGCCACACAUAGCGGUACUUCCAACACUUCCCCUUAUGCCUCAACAAUUUCAAGCUUUGAUAUGUAUAAUGUGCUCUGAUUGCAUAGUGAAGUUCAAGUAAGAGUCUGAACUUAGAGAAGAAAAACGACAUGCAAAUGAAUAAAUCGUUAAGUUGAUUUAUUACCUUCAUUCGAUACCGCCAACCCCAUCUUUCUUGAGCUUCAACAUCAGGAAUUGGAUCUCCAAUGAAAGAAGCACUUUUGAUGUUCUCUUGUUUGUUUUGCUUGUUCUUUGAUGAAUCUAAGGUUUUCCUUUUCUUUGGUGUUUGUUUCACAUAGGUCUCGGGCAAUUCAAUCAAAGCACAUUCUGAUUCUCUUCUUUCAGCCUCAAACAUCGAUCUGGUUCUUCUUUGGGAUUGCCCCAAGUGUGUCUCGUCAAAAAUUUUUGAAUCAGAUUUUCCUAAUGAGAUCAAUAUCUUCUUGGAAGAAAACCCAUCUUCCGAAUCAGACAAUCCAAUGAAACUAGAAUUUAGAUUGGAAGUUUCCUUAGCCACGUCCAAACAAGGGGAAAACUUAGGAGAUCUUCUUAUGUGCUUUUCAUCCAACUUUUCACCAUCAAAAUUGUCUUCAGGAGCUGACAUUAACCUUGAAGACCUCCUCAAGGGUGUAGGUCUCUUAUCACUCUCUCCGUGCCAUGAAAGAGAUGGAUGCUUGACUUCUGUGUCUCUUGAUGAUGUUUCGACAUUAGAAGUAUUUAAUGACAGGGCCUUGGGGCAGCCUUCUUCAGGGGAUUCGAAUUUUCUUAGAGAUCUCUCUUGCGAAGAAACUUUCAGACAGCAGCUUUCCACUGCAGACUGAUUCAUCAACCUUAGAGAUCUCCUCAUAGACUUCUCUGCUAAGCUUUCUACACUUGAUACUGUAUAUUUCUGUUCAUCAUCACUGCAACAAGCAAACAUGCAGAAGUCAAGAAAAUUGACGUAUGAAUCAUAUGAUGAAUGUGAAUGCCCCACAGCUAAAAUGUUUGAAAAUUUAGGACUCACUUUGAUCCGAUGGUUCCACCCUUGUACCUUUUAUGCUGCAUAAGCCAAUAAUCCAUUCUUGAAAUUAGAAUGUGUAAACUGAUGUAAAUGGUUAACGAGACAUAAGACAACUGACAUAGCAAAUACAAUUAUGACAUAUUGGGAACCAUCACCAAAAAAUGAAACAAACAAACAAGAGCUUCAUGGGAAAUGUUAAACUAUCAUGAGGAAGACGAAGGUGUCAAGAUUUCAGAGAGAUGGCAAUCAGACCACAACAUUUUCAUAGGGACAGGGAGGCCUCAAAAUUGCCUACCAUGAAAUAUUAUUAGCUUGCUCAUAAAAUUAUUCUAUUUUUCUUUCUGAACUAAAAUUUUGAACAAUAAGUGUUUGGGCGUGUUCAAAAAGGUUUGCAAUGUAUUAAAUCAUAUGUCAAGAUUGUGUAAGAUGUGGAAAGGGAACAUCACGAAAAUGUUACAACUCUUGCCAAAUUUAUGGUUGCUAUACAUAGGAAGGAGACCUAACUUCAAACAAGGUUUAUGCUUAAUGAAUUUGACCGUUUUGAUUCUGGAGUAUAAUGCCGCAAUGUUGUAUUUGUGUUAGCAUUAACAGGCCAAGUACAGUUAAUCGUAUUUUUCCAGGCGGUUCAAGGAUCACACAGUAUUUAAAUGUGUAUGAGAAUCAUUUGACUUCUUAACUUUCCCGGCGUUUACUAACACAUGAAAUUGGAAAGGCGUGAGCUUCCCCUUGAAAUUCAUAAUCAAAUACCUAAAAAUCAGGAAUCAUAUCAACUAAGGGGGACUAGUUUAUCUGAUUCCCUUUCCCAAAUUCUCUGUUUCUUUAUGUGGCCUUUCUCCAAUGAGGCCCCUCAUGUUUCAUAAAAACGGAACUCAUGGCUGUCAAUCACUUUUAACAUUUUUUUUUUUUUGAACAAACAAUGUUAUCUACACUAAAAGAGAGGGGGUGGGCUUAGCCUCACAAUGAGCUAGCAAUAAUGUGGUUAAAAUUCACCUUUGGCCAAAAUUAAACCUAAAACCUCUUAGUUACAAGUGAACAGCAAUAUCACUAGACCGUAGUAAGUGGCUUAACAAAAAUUACUUUUUUUUACUAAUAGUGACAUUUAUUUUUAAAAAAAAAAACCCCCAUCUUUGUAUUUUUAUUUUUACUAUUAUUGGGGACAAGGAUGAGAGUUCGAAACUAUUAAAAUAAGUUAGGGAGGGUUUCGAAUUAAAGACAUAUGGGUAGAAACUCAACACUCUAUCCUCUAGGAUAUUUGACCACAUGAACACAAAAAACCUAUCUAUUUACCUCAUAAGUCAAAUAAAAAUUACUGACUGAAAUGCAAAACAAAGACUAGAUACAUAAAACAUCUGAACCAAAAAAAUAUUCUUUUAUUUGUAAUAUUUUUUAAUUUUUGUUCUGUAUUAAAUCAAAGUAUUAUUUUAGAUGUAAAUUAAUAAUUCUAAUAGGGAUUUUCUAACAAAUAAAGAUAAAAACUGUGGAAUACGUUCGUGAAGAAAUUACUUCUAAUUACUUUUAAAAGCUUAAAAGGGUACAAAUGUCACUUCAACUAAAGUGGGUCCGAAUGGUUGAAAGUCUCUGGCGCCAAUAAGCGUUCGGGUUUAAUAAAUGAAAGAUGAAACAAGCAUCUAAUCCCUUUUGGACAAAAGUCAAACUCACCAUCCGCACGAUUCUUAAGAUUCAAUGAUCCGACGGAUGAGAAGCAUCUGAUUAAUACACAAUUUCUCAAGAAAAAAGAAAAAGAAACAUAAAAGUAUUUAAUUUCAACGAGAAAAACUAUAAAAAUAUGCAAAUAAUAUGAAAUUUAAGGAUUAAAAAAAUUAAAAAAUACUUAAAAGAAUUAUUAAUUAAGAAUUAAAAGAAAAUUAAAGAUAGUAAACGGUGAGUAAUGACGCAAGCACCUGAACUGAUGGAGUCUUAAUCUUGCUGCUCUCAGCUUCUUCCAGGACGGAUGACGUAAAUCUGGGAGACCUUCUCACACUCGCACGCUUGGCGUCGUCGAUCUUCCUGGAAGCUGCAUUUGCCGAAGUAUCCUUGACGACCUCCUCCUUCUGCGCCGGCGGCAACGGCGACAGUCUCGGCGACCUUCUCACGCACUCGGGCCGCCGCUGCUGAAUCUUGCGCCGUAGUCGUGGGUCGUCGUGGUCGUGCGAGUUCAGUGGCACUGCUUCCUCCUCACAAGCCACAUUUUCCACGAGCACCGACAAUGCCAUCGGUUCCGAUUCGGAUUUCGAUUCCGAUUUGGAAUCGGAGUUGGGUUUUGGUGGCGCCCACAUUUUAUUUCUUUUUUUUGGGGGGGGGGGGGUGGGAUGGGGGAUUUUGGGCAAAUGGUGAAAUAAAUGGAAAUUAUUGAAACGCAAAGAAGGAAACGGUGGGAAGCAGUUUCGUUCUUCCGAUGACUCCAAAGAAGAGAGGCUGGGCAAAAAUAUAUGUCCUCUUUCUCGCAUGACACAUCUCACGAGGCAAUGGAGGCGCACGAAUAAAUAGUGGUAUACCCACUCAUAUUUUACAAAAUAAAUUAGAGUAACCUCAACUAUUGAUAUUAAGACACUUUCAUAUCUUAUCUUUUAAAAUUGACAAUGUCAUAUCUCAUCUUACGAAUUUGUAUCAAUGUUAGACAUCCGUCCGUUUUCUGUUAAUUUCUCUGUUAAAUGCUGACGUUGUCCGACACGUGUCCACUCACUAAUCAAAUUGGAUUAAAAAAUAAUUAAAUAUAUUUUUAAUAAUUAAAUAUUCAAAAAUUAAAAAAUAUAUAUAUAUAUAUUAAAUCUCUCUCUCCCCUUUCUCGCCUCUCUCUUCUCUGCAACCCAAAACCCCUUCCCACCCGUCCUUCACCACCCUCUCUCUCUCCUCUCUCUCCCCCCCCCUUUCUCGGCUCUCUCUCUUCUCUGCAUCCCAGAAGACCCAGACCUCGGAGGAACAAAACCCACCUUCCCAUUGCAGCAAUUGUUGCCGCAAUUCGAAAACCCCAAAACGAAGAACCCAAUAUUUCUCGACUACUCCGCCACCCUCAAUCUGGAGAUCGCAAUGACGUCAUUCCACGGCAUCAUCUUCCUCGACUACUUCGCCUCCCUCACUCUACCACCCUCGAUCUGCACCUGGACACCCAAAACGAUGGCGUCGACCUGAAGUCGGACUGGGAACCGGUCUGAUUUGUGACGAAGUCCGAGUCUGUGGGGUAGUGGGGGGGGACGCGGGUCAAUAGGCAAGAGUUUGGGGGGACGGGUCAAUAGGCAAGAGUUUGGCGGAUGAAAAAACCCAGGUGGGUUUAGGCGGUUCUAGGCACGAAGAGUGAGAGAAGUGGGGAGGAAGGAACUACGAUGGAGAGGAGAAGGAGAGGCAAAAGAGAGGGUGGUGGAGGACGGGUGAGAAGGGGUCGGGUGGGAAGGGGUUUUGGGUCUUUUGAGAUGCAAAGAAGAGAGAGAGGCAAGAAAGGGGGGGGGAGAAAGAGGAGAUAGAAAGAGAAAGAGAGAGAGAGAGAGAUUUAAUAUAUAUAUAUAUAUAUAUAUAUUUUUAUUAUUAUUUAAUUAUUUUUUUAAUCCAGUUGAAUUAGUGAGUGGGACACGUGUCGGCCCACGUCAGCAUUUAAUAGAGAAAUUAACAGAAAAACUGACGGAUGUCUGACAUUGGCACAAAUUCGUAAGAUGAGGUAUGACAUUGUCAAUUUUAAAAGAUGAGGUAUGAAAAUGUCGUGACACCAAUAGUUGAGAUAGUUUUUUGUACUUUACCCAACAAAUUAUUUGUAUUUUGAGGAUUUUGCACGAACUCGAUUGAAAUCUAUCACUUAAGUUAUUUUUUAUUUAUUUUUUCAUAAAAACAUGCAUGUGACUCACGUGGAGAGUUAUUUUUGUCAAUUCACUGCCUAGGGCUCUUUAGAAUCAAUUUAUGUGAAAGCAAAAGGAAUUUUUAAUAGCGUUAGAGUAAGGUCAUGAAGAGCAAGGGAAAAGUUGAUUUUUAAUUAGAUUUUGGCAAGGGUUGUUGAAGAAUUGAAGUGAAAAUUAUGCUAAAAUCUAGUCCUUCAUUUACAAUAAAUUUCAAUUUUUUUUUUUUUGUAAGUCAGCAAGUGGGUAUGUGAUUAAGGUAUUAUUCAAAUAUUAAGUUUUCAUACUCUGAUGUAGGGAAUUGCCGGAUUGGGGCUGUACAAACCCCAAAUUUGGAGCUAUAUUGACUGAGGCAGUAUUACUUUGCAGUCAAUUUGAUUCUAGUCAGCCCCAUUAAGUGAAUUGAUGAAAAUAUCCCUACAUGUGACAUGUUUUAAUGGCAAAAUGGAUGAAAAGUAACGUAAGUGAUAGAUUCUAACUUAAGACGGUCUAGUUGGAAAAAUUAAAAAUUUAGUGGCAAUAUUGCAUAUGCUUACAAGGUCAGGUGGUACUUGUGCAAAAAAUCUUUGUAUUUUUAAUAUUUAAUAUUAAUUAGACCCGUAAACGGUAUGGCUGCUACCAUACCUGACCCGUUUAACUAUCGUAGACAAUGUGCCAAUUUCACCACACCCCUUAGAUCUUCAGAUGGGUAGAUGAACAUAGAAAGAGAGAGACCAAUAAUUACCUCAAUCAUCCUUGGUCAUGGCUACAAGCAACCCCUCAUCGCCACAGCCGCCACCGCCAUCGGUUCCAUCUUCUGCCUUCCAGCCAGUUUUUUCAGAAACAUAUGGUUCUUCCUACAAUACAUUGCCGCCAUAGUUUGUGCCAUCGUCAUUGCCACUGCCUGCCACGCCCACCACCUCGGCCUAAUGAUCUGCGGCUUCACUGGCAAUCCAAAAAUCCAACAUUCCGAGCCUGAAGAGGAGUCUCUCUUGGCUCUCGCUCUACUACGCUGCCGCGGCCAACUCAUUAUGCUCCGCCGUCUUCUCAUCCUUUAAAGCUGCCGGCCAUGUGAGGCACGAGAACAAGCGAGGAGGCUUGCCUGUUAGUGGCCUUGAUACUGCCUGUGAGACACAAGAACCGGCAGCUGUACACUUAAUUGGCGGCACCAGACGCAGUUACGAGAAAAAUAAUGAACUACAUCGGUAUAUAUUGUUUUCUACACCAUUUUCAAAUGCCGCUAUUUGGGAAAAGCGUCGAGAACAAGGUGCUGCACAUGGUCAUAAACACAAAUGCUGCAAUUUUCUAGUACCAAGUAUUGCAAGAGAUCACAAAUGAAAGGAAAAUUAUUCUCCAAAUGCUUCAAGACGGAUAAUCUAUAUCAAUACUUGAAGCUUGAGUCGCAUCGAAAAAGUUGUUAUUUCUCUCUGAUACAUUCCAGUAUUGCAAAAACGCUCGUAAAAAACUUCUCACCAAGCAGUUGUCCACGGAAUACAAGUUUAAAAAGACAACUAUAGCUGAUUGUUCUCAUCAGCUAAUCAGGUAUAGCCUCGAAUUGAACUUGUCAAUGGUUAAAACCUUCUAGCUGCUAAAUCACUGCUUGUUCAAAGGAAUCAGAAACGGAAACUAAAGAAAGAAACCGGUAGCACCUACCAGAGGACUCAAACUUUUAACCGCAAAAAUUGAGCUUCUUCAUCACUGUAGCAUAAGCAGGAUGGACAAGGGCAGGUACUCUUAGUCUACGCUUAGAUAUCUUCGACUGCAUAGGAUACAAAAUUUCAUUAAUUUCAGGAACAAAUUGGUACGUCUAGAGCUCUGGUCUACUAAAUACCAUUCGUAAAUCAUGAAUGUACCUCGGACCAAAAAUAAAAUAAAAAAAUUGUGAAUGCACCAUUAUAAAAAAUGUCGUACUCAGUGCACAAGGCUCCCGCUUUACGCAGGGUCUAGGAGAGGUGAAUGUCGGCUAGCCUUACCCCCAUUUAUGGAGAGGCUGCUCCCAAGUCUCGAACCCGAGACAUACCGCUCAUGGACGAAGGCACUUGCCAUCGCACUAAGUGCGACCUCUAUAAUGAGAGAAGAAAGGCAUUUGCAAUAAAAGGAACGAAAGUCUGAUCGAGCAUGUCAAGACACCAAUAAGAGAUUUAGCUGCACUAAUAGGGCAAUGGACAAGAAUACAUACUCGUUCAUGUUGCUUCCCAGACAGAGGAGCUAAUCAACAUAUUGAUGACCAAAAUAAACAUAAUCCACAAAUGAGGUAGGGGAAAAAGAAAAGAACUGUGACCCUAAUGACGACAAUGCCAAUUCAUCCGGAAUUGUUUCACCAGAAACAAACAUAUACCAAGCAGCAUGCAUCAUGAAAUUAAAGAAAUAACUAGUCCAAAUUAUAAUCAACAAUCGACGCACCAAUAUAACUCCUUUUUGUAUAAUGUCUCAAAUUAAUGGGGAUCAAUCAUGUGCUUACAAGACUUUAUUUUACUCGAAUCUUUAAAAAUCUUGUACCCUUUAGUGCUCCCAAAAUCCGUUAUUUAGGAACAUUGCAGGCCACGAGAUACCAGCUAAUGUAACAACUUUUCAUCAAUUUCAUUUAGAAAUCACAACUCAGGAUAAGAGUGUCCUUUUGCUAACAAAGCUGUGCAAAUAGCGUUGCUGUACAUUCUUAAAUAGAGAGGCGCUUUCACAUCUUCUUAACUGGAAACGGCUGGGGAGAGGAAAGAUUUCAUUUUUAAGGGCUUGUAUAGGCCAUAUGCGGGAUACUUAUAGAUAGACAUAAACCAAGGGUGCUGGUCAGCAAAUGAAAACUGGUUGUAAGGGAAUUUUCAGUAGGUAAUUGAACUUCAAACUUGCUGAGUACCACUCUAAGUAACAAAAAUAGUGAAAAAUAAAUAAAAAUCGCUUGUUCCGCAUGUGACAUCAUGACUUGUAGGUUUCAAUGGAGCAAUAUUGUAACUAGAGCAGUCGUUCAAACAACUCUCUUUUUAUUAUAUGUAGAAAACUUUACAGGAACCUGAAAUGUGAAUAAGCAAUAUGACAACACUUAUCUAAUGCUUUGGGAGACACCUAACACAAAAAAAAACACACGUGCUAACAUAUAGUGAAUGUAUCUAUAUGAAUAUAUGAAAUGAGAAACCAAGAUGAUUGACCACCUAUAUUGCA